UAAUAAUAAUAUCUAUAUUGCAGAGGGUGGUCUUGAACUUCUGGUCCUCCUGCCUCCACCUCCCAAAUUUGGGGAUUAAAAGGUGCCCAGUUUAUACUGUUCUGUAGACCAAUCCCAAGGCCUUGUACAAGGCAAACACUCUACCAACUGAACUAAAUCACCAGCUUUAAGUCAUGGGAUUCUUUGAAAAGCAGACUUAAUCAAUCCCUUUAAUUUUAACAGUCAUUAAAAGUCACCCAUUAAAGGUCAUGCACAUCAAUAAGAGGCUAGAUGUCACCUAUCUUGUAUUGUUCACAUACAUACACACAUAUUGCACAUACACACACAAGCAUGCAUAUUCAUAGAUACACAGCCAUGUAUACACACAUACGAGCAUAUACAUGCCUGAAUGUGUAUACUCAGCACACAUACAAUUACAGUACGGUGUGUUGAAGUAUAUACAACCAUGCAUGCACACUUCAUGACAGCAGCCAUUGUGUAUCUCCAGUGUUUCUUUAGGGUGAGCUGAACAAAUACUGUUGCUCCAACCUGAGCAAUUCCCACCGGAGAGGUGCAGAAUGGGUGCCAAAGGGCCACCAAGCUGAGCUAUGCAGACAGAGCUCCCUGAGUCGGUCCCCGCCCACCUCUCUUUUCCUGUUUUAUUGGGGAAGGAGCAAUAUUUUCUUUGAGCACGGGGUUACCCUGGGGGUAGGCUGGCACUCUGUUUAGGAGAAGCUCUGCCUGUUCAUGCUGAGAAGGAACUGGCCCAGGACAACAAAGAGUUGCAAGCCUACAUUUCCAUUCUAAUUAGCAUUUUCUUCACUUCGGGAGAUUGUUACCCCAGGGAGCCUCAUUAGCAUAGUUUUGAUGCCUCACCUGUACACAGGAACUCCUGUGGUGGUCUCUUCAUUCCACAUGCCUCUUACUCUCUAACUCUAAAAUCCACAAGGCACACAUACUGGCUCAAUCUGUAGAGCCUGCCUGUCAGACCAGAAGCCCUGGACAGUCUCUCACCAAUUUCCUCACCAAGACUGCUUUUGGCAGAACCUUCCACUGGAUUAUGGCUUUGUUUACCUAUCUUCCUUGGCUGAGUUGGACUGCAUUAUCUCAUCAAGAUUCUCUUGCCAAGAGCCCACACACACCCUGCUUCAUUAUAAUUUGACUCCGGACAUCACGAGUUAAAGCUGUAAGCUUGCAAGGAGCACUUCCUUCCACAUUAGCCUUUCUUUUCCAAAUAAAUUCACUAGGUGGCAGUGAACAGCGAGGGAAAGAGCACUGCUUCUCAAAAGAGGCAAAAGCAAGGGGAGCUAAGCAUAUCUAAUCUCGAAUUCUAAAGAAUCCUUUUAGGAGCUCUGAUAUACGUUGCUAAUGGAAGCAGCUAGUCUCCAUUAAAUGAUGAGAUGCCAAGAUAUAAUGUCAAGUCUCUUCUCAGCACUCCACUGAUCAUUUUCAGACCAGCUGUGUUCAUAUAUUAAAGUUGUAUGCAUGUGUGUAUGUGUGCAUGUGUAUGUAUGUGUGCAUGUGUGUGUAUGUAUGUAUGUAUGUGUGCAUUUAUGUGUAUAUGUGUGUGCAUGUAUGUGUUUAUUUGUGUAUAUGUGUGUAUGUAUGCAUGUAUAUGUAUGUAUGUGUGUAUAUGUGUGUAUGUAUGUGUGUGUAUUUAUGUGUGUAUGUGUGUAUAUGUACAUGUAUGUGUGUGUAUAUGUGUGCAUGUGUAUGUGUGUAUGUGUUAAUAUUUAUAUGGGUAUAUGUCUAUAAGUAUGCAUGUAUAUGCGUAUAUGUGUAUGUUUGUGUAUGUAUGUAUGUGUAUGUAUGUGUGUAUAUGUGUGUAUUUAUAUGUGUAUGUAUGUGUAUAUAUGUGUGUAUAAGUAUGCACGUAUAUGUAUGUGUGUAUGUGUGUGUACAUAUGAGUGUGUCUAUAUGUGUGUGUAUAUGUGUAUGUAUCUGUGUAUGCAUGUGUGUGUAAGCAUGCUCACGUGCAUAGCACACUUUCUUUAGAAGACAGAGAAGCCUCAUUAUCAGAUUAGAAAUUUUAGGAUUAUUGUUUUAUAGUUAAUUCCUCCAGAUGACCAUCAUUUCAACUAACAGCCCCCAUUUCUUCCUACUAAGCUCUGACUUCCCAUUUGCUCAGCAGGUAAAGCUUAGAGUCCUAAGUGCCUCAGUGUGGAGAAGACUCUUAUGUCUUAAGACACUGACUGAAACCUUAGUGCACGCGUCCUCUGAGUUCCCUGGGUUUUAACCUAUAGGCACUUUGUUUGGUGGAGAAGAAAACAACUGUAAGCCAGCUAAGACAGCUUCCAGAUGGUCUGAGCAUUGGUGUGUGCUGAGAGUUCCUUUGCACCAGACUCAGAACUGCCACCAUUGUUAUCCCACCGCCUCCUUGUCCUGUGGUUUCCAUCCUAGCGGAGAUCCAGUGGAUGCCAUGCAUGGAGUGAUCUUUCCAGACAGGCAUUUGACACCUUUUGUUGGUCAUAUUAUCACUGGGACUCUGACUGAAUUCCACAGUUCUCAGGGCCGUGAUUCACCCUAUUGCCGGCUUUCUCCAUACCCAGACUCUGUCUUUGCAGUUCCCAUGAAUUUAAGUACUGUCUUGAUGAGAAACUAACCCAACUACUCCUGCUUUUCCUAACCACAUAACCUCUGCGAUACUUAGUCUUUGUUAUCAGCCUGACUGGAUUUAGAAUUGCACAGAAGGUUAAAGUACACCUCUCCAUGCAUUGUGGAGGUCUCUCCAGAAAGUAUGAACUCAGAGCAAUGAAGCAACCCAAAUGGAGGCAGCAUAUAUACAGGAGCAGGUGGGGAAGGGGGUGAGCAGAAAUAGAAAAAAGGAGAAGAUGAGCCAAACACCAGUACUCUCCCUUCUCAUAGCUAGCAAGAAGUAAAAGAACAACAUCAAUUCCAAGCUCCAAUCACCACAAUGUCUUAAACAAGGGUUUGGGCUAGGAUAUUGAUUAGACCCUCUGAAACCAUGAGCCAAAAUAAACUAUUCCUCCUUUAAAUUGUUUCUGUUGGGUAUUUGAUCACAGUGACAAAAGAAAAUGAUGAGCACAUACCCUCUGAGCUCUCAAGUUCUACACUGUAUCCUAGGCUGGUCCUAAAAUCUCAUUUUCUAAUGGCUGCCUCCCUCCCUCAAUGCUGACUGUGUUCUCAUGCACUAUUGGGUAUUGUUAACCUCUAAGUCCGUAAUAGUGUCCAAUUCCAUGUUGAAUUCCACCCUUGUCCAUGUGGAAACCAUCCAAUGAUGAUCACCAUGAACACUCAGCUUUUUCUGAUGUCUAACUCAGUGAGCACUGAUGAUAGAGAGCUCUGUUGUACAUACUGAGACACAGCUUACAGCCUUCAUAUAGAUCCAGGUUCUACCUUAGCAUCUUCUCAAUGCCAGCAGCAGCAUCUUUCACAGCCAUGCCCCACCUAGGAUAGGAAGGCCUAGUUCUGUUGCAGCAAAGUCUUAUGCAUGGUUGUGCCCAGGGCAUCAGAGUAUCCAGCUCCAUCAUAACCAAGACCAGUUCCAAAGCAGUCGCCAGGCAGUGACAUUGAUUCAAUAGAGAAAGUGAGUCUAUGUGCUAAGUGGCUGCCAGCCUGGCUUGCAGUGUGAGCCUCCACCUGGUUACCUUCUAUAACACAAAAUAACAUAUCAGAAACAUAAAGGGAAAUGAACUCAGCCUAGCUCCAGUGACAGGGUGGCAAGGUGACCUGGAGAUUGGGCAGAUGAGAAUAUAAGCUACCCCUUGCUAAGUUGAACUCAAGCAAUGUCAAGUUUCUCUCUAUGGAAUGCAAAGUUGGAUCUUCCAGAAUAUCUGUGCUUCGGAUGCCAUGUUAAUUAUCCUGUAAAGGAUGUAAAGGACUAGCUUGGGCUGUUAAGAGCACUCGUGAUUCCUCUUGGGAACUUAAUACACACAUAAUAAAUCUUGCUGAGGUAGCCAGACAGCAAAUGAGAAGAGGCCAAAUAUUUCCUAAGGAAAAUGAAGACUCAACAAAUCAGCUCAGGAAAUAAAUGUUAAUGCAGACAAUGAGAUAUUUUUAUACAGCUACUGACUCCAAAGUAGUUGAAAUAUUUUAAGGUUUAUUUUUUCCUAGUGCUGUGUGGGAGGUAUUUUUCUAUGCUACACAAACACACACACACACACACACACACACACACACACACACACACACACACACACUCACACACCCUUUAAUGUACUUUUAAAGGGUAAAAUCUCAGUUAAAGAAACUGGCUGUGCAUGGUGCUAUGCCUGUAAUUUAAGUACUUGGAAAGUUGGAGCAAGGAGGGGUGUGAGUUCAAAGCCAGUCUGUGAAAUGAGGUCAGGGCUGGGGGUGGGGGGGCAGGACAUGUCACACAAGGCUCACAACCUGAGUUCUGUUCCCAGAACCUGUGGUGGAAGGGGAGAUGCAGCUCUUAAAAACUGUCUUCUGUCUCCCACAAGCAUGUCAUGGAACACCCAUAUGGAUGUGUACACACACACAGAGAGACACACACACAGAGACACACACUCACACACACACAGAGACACACACACACACUCACACACACACACACAGUGAUGGAGAUGAUGAUGAUGAUGAUGAUGAUGAUGAUGACCACAAUGGUGAUAAAAUAUUUUUAGAAGAGAGAGAAAUAAAAAGAGAAAACUAAGAUUAGUGGGCUCUGGAAAGAGGUGAAACUCCUCUUUUAAGACUUUGGGAAUCUGUCCAUUUUUAACUCUCUUUUCCUGAAAUCCUGUUCACACUUUGCAGUUAAAGCAGGUUUGGUGCCAUUUGCUGUCUCGCUGGUCUGUUCGAUCGAAACCUCAGCUCAGCCACUUCAGUGUUAACUCUAAUGGAUACUUAAUGUGGGCAAUUCUUUUUAACAAAAUCAGAAACUGGUAUGGUUUACAUAUGUACUGGCCUGUCGGCUCCUGUGUUUGAACUCUAGCAAUGAAGCUUAAAGAGGCUGGGGGGGGGGGUGCGGGGGGUGCUUAGGAAGUGUCCUUAGUUGGAGGAAUGGGCUCAUUGGGUAUGGGAGUAGGUUUUGAAAGGUUAUAGGCAGUGGGCUCACUUCUGAACCAAGCUCUCCACUUUCUGGUUUGUCGGGAUGUGACAAGCCUUGAAGUCUUAAACACAGUCCUGUGGCUACACAGUGCCCCAGCCUCCAUGCCUUCCUCACCAUGAUGAACUGUGUCCUCUUUAGCCAUGAGCUCACAAACCCUUCCUCCCUCAAGCCAUAUCCAUCAUGCCUGCUAUUCAGUCACAGUAAUGAGAAGAGUAAUAUAAAAAGCUUGAGAAUUCUCACCAACCAAAAGAUGUAUCUCGAGGCACUGAGCCCAGCCUAUGGAGUUCACUAGUCACAGUUAUAAAGUUAAAAGAUUUAAAGUACUUGAGAUACCUCAUUGGCAAGUUGAUUCCCUUGCUAAUAAGGACCUUUGAUCUCUAAACAAUUGCAGAUGCUUCAGGUGACACACCAAAUUCUAACCCCAUUCCAUUUCCCUCGACCAGAGUCUACGAUUUCUGACUGAGUCCUUCUCAGGUCCACUGUACCUUCCCCAGGCCAUGUGCCCAUACCACGUGUAUGUCACCAACAUACAGACAGUGGUGGUGUUCUCAGGUUCUCAGCCUCCCACCCGUGUGUGUGUGUGUGUGUGUGUGUGUGUGUGUGUGUGUGUGUGUGUGUAUGUGUGUGUGCCCCUUCCUCCUGAGGAUUCUGCCGUAGCAGUGAAACACGCAUCCACUAGGCUACCAAGCACUUCUCUCUCGGCCAUGUUCUUCCCAUCUUGUGUGAGGCGGAGCUAUAGGAAGUGUGACUUGCUCAUGAUCUAUGACCAGCACAAAUAUUCUGUCUUGGUGAUCCUGUAGCUUCCAGGUCUCAGGCAGAAAUAAGAAUAUCUUUUAGACAAAACAUCAGCUUGGAGCCUCUCCGCCAGUCACUAUUCAGAGGGUUUUUCCUCCCCAGUCAUCCUUAGGUCUCUGCUAUAAAUACUCUCCCUGCUGCCAGCAACACGUUACUAUUUUAUACUUACUGUGUGUGCCACACAGUCACAGUGCCACCCACUCCAGAGACAUUUCUGCUCUUCUCUUCCUCCCUGAGAAUGUCACCUUCGCUCUCCCAGGGAAUAACUGGACUUACUCACGUGGAAGAGUACAAGUCUCACAAAGCAAUGUAUGCCCAGGGGCUGAAUUUAUGGACUUAGAAAGAUAGCACAAAACACGUUCUAGAAAAUACCUGUGUAUCUGACCUAUGAGCCCUGGCUCUCUGCCAUAGGCUGGUCCCAUCCAGUCAGUGCACACUAUGGCCAAUGGCUCCCCUCAAGCGGCAAAGGAGAGAUUUUCCCACAAGGGAAAACAUUCCAGUAAAACUAUACCUUCUUGGUUUUAAUGGUUAAAAAGGGUGAAUUUUUUUCCACCCUCAAUAAAUAAAGUGUUUUGAGGCCAAGACUCUCGGGAGAUAAUCAUUAUAAAAGCUGCCACAGAAACUAGCAUGUUUGAAAACACAGAAUGAAGCUGGCCUGAUUCCCAGCACUCUGGGGAAGAAGAUGGGGGGAGAAGGCCUUUGUUCUCCUACAGCAGGUGACAGCACACCGCUGGACUCGCCAGUCCUGUGUGGGAAAUGGUGCUGAUAAGCCGCCUCAUGUUGUGCAUGCAUGGGGCUAGCUGCCCAGACCAAUGAAGAACAGUUGGACAAUGGAUGGGAAGCUGGCCAGCAGCAAUCACAUUAGAUACCCUUCCCUCCCCCGUGGAAAUACCCUUUGAGAGCCAGCAGCAGAUCCUGUGGGAAGAAGAUGACACUGGGAGCCAACUGUGACAGGAAGAUCAGCUGUGAGAGGAAAGAGAUUUCAAGUUCUAGGGGCACUCCAAGAAAGUGGCUUUGAAGAGGUGGUGACAAGACUAUAGGGGUUAAGGGGAUGAGUCCCCACCACCUUCUUUCUCAACUAGGAUUUCCUUACAGGUCUGUGAUAGAGAAGACCUCUAAUCCACCUUGCCUUUGAUACCAAUGUAUCAAUGACGGGGGCCCCGCCCUCCGCCGCCUCUGCGCCGUGUAUUAUCUUCCUAAGUGAACCAUGAGGGCUGAGAUAGCGGUGUUUGCUAUAAGAAGCCUCCCUUCCCCCUGUGUUAUUUUCAUGGAACCUCCUAACAGCAGACCUGAACUGAAGGUUAGCGUAGCAGUGCUCAGAGGCAAGACAUCAUGAAGGAGGAUGUAAAAAGAAGUUGUGUAAGGUGUGGGGUCAGAUGAAGCCCUGGGGAGCUACUGAGAGUAGUUCCAGAAUUAAAUAGAAACCCAGGAUUCCACAAUCCCAACAGGAAAGAAACAGUCAGCAUGUUGAGACAGAAGCAAGCCCCCCCCCCCACACACACACACAUACACAUACACACACCUACAGUGGUCUUCAUGAGCCAAACAGCUGAGCCCAAAGACAGAUCCUAGAAGACACAUGAGCACAGCGCAAAGAGAAUCUGGGGGAUGGGCAGGCUGAAAGAGGUGAGCAAGGUCGGGCACACUUCAGAGUGACUGUCUCAUUCAUUGGGAUCCCUCCUCUGCUCAGUGACAUUGUCAGGCAGAUGACACAAAGCCAGGCAGAAUGGGUAAUCUGCUGGUGACAGAAUGAACCUCUAGAGGGAACUGCUGCAGGCUGGAAGGGCAGAGUGAGCAGGAGAGAGGAGAGAUGUAUGCAUUUUCAGCUGCUAGGAAACAGCACCAAGGACUUCACUGACAAUAAGCCCUGUGGUGUCCACACACAGCUGAAACCAUUAAAAAGACCAAUGCUCUCUAGCUCUGAGCACGAAGCUAUCAGCUUACGAUCAGGACAGGAAGAAGAUCUUAUCAUAAGCAUCUUGUAGAGAGUCACAUGGCUGAGCUGGGGAGAUGGCUCAGUUAGUGAAGUGCUUGCCAUGGAAGCUCCAGGAGCCGAGUUCAAUUUCCAGUUCCCAUGGAAAGGGCUGGGAGUGAUAGCAUUUGUCUGUAAUCCCAGCUCAGAGGAGACAGAGAUAAGAGGGUCGCAGGGGCUUGAUGGAAGCCAGUCUAGCCAUUCAGGGAGCUCCAGAUUCAGUGAGAAAGCCCGAUGCCCAGGAGUAAGAUAGAGACCCAUAAAGGAAGAACUCAGUGAUGGCCUCAGAUCCUGCAUGCACAUUUCUACACACGUAUAUGCAUCAACCCAGAUGUGUGUGUGCAGAGGAACAUGUGCAUCUAUCCAGAUGUGUGUGUGCACAUCAACAUGUACACACACAAAGAAGUAAGACAGGUCACUCUGCUCUUGUCACUGUGCUAAGGACUAUUGUGUUUAGAGAAGAAAAUUUGAAUUUUAUUGGAAUGGAGCUGAAAGUAUUUGUCCAGAAAAAAAAAAAAAAAGACAAGAAAGAUGUUGAUAACUUUCUUCAGAUAUGCAAAGAAAUCUCAUAUGAUAAAAGGAGUGAGGCUGGGGAGGGAAGAUCUGCAGAGAGGAAACUGCAUUCAAGUUCUUGACCUUCCCCAUCAUUAAAAUGUUCCAAAACCCACUAUUUUCCCAGAAGCCGAGCAGGAUGCUGCCUUCCUUACCACCCAGGUGCUAAUGCAAGAGCCAGCAACUGUAAAGGGGGCUCGAGCAUCCAUCAGAGUGCCAUAUCUUCCUCUCUCUGCCAAGGGGUGUGGUGUGCAUCACAAGGCAACCCAGAAUGGAUAAAUAGAUGAUAGGUAGUCAGACAGGAAGUUCAGGCAGAGGACAUCUUGAUCUGUUUCCUCGUGCUGUAGUAGACUACCUGAGGCUGAGUUAUUUACAAAACGAGCUUCAUUAUAUUUGACCCAUGGUGGAAAUCAGAAAGGAAUUAAAGACAUAAUAAAGUGAAGUUACAGCAAGAAGGGCAUGGGUAGGGGAGCUUAUAUUUGUAACGACCCAUUCUAGUGAUAACAGACUCCAUCCCCAAGAGAAAGGAAGCAAGCCACUCAAAAUGCUCCAGCUGUGUAAGUCUGCCCUUAGGUCUGCCUCUCAGCCUGCCGGACCAGCAGAGGUCAGGGUAAGUUUCAGAAGAGACAAACUAUACUAAGACCAAAGCUGGAGAGAUACGUAAACAAAUGACAGAUAUAUGGAUGGAUGCAGGACACAGGAUCUAAUAGAAAUAAAUAAACAGAACCCAGCCAGGUGGCUCAGGGGCUAGAGGCACUUGUGAGCAGGCCUGAAACCUGGUCCCUAUAUUCAUAUUCACUCCCUCUCGCUCUGACACUCACACCCAUACAAACACACACACAGAUAAAUAAAUGCAUAUUUUCUUAAAAGUCUAUCAUGACUAGCCUAGGAAGACAAGUGACUUAGGACUUAGCUAUAUUGCAUUGGGUCCAGGGCUAACCAAGGCACACUUUCUACUCGCAGAACGGGCAGGCCUGAGUCCUGAACAGAGAUGUAUACACUUACAUAAUGUGACUUCCAAACACCCAGCUGUGAUUGGUUUGUUCAGUCUUUGAUUUCCCUUUUCAAUCACCUCAGCAAAUCUCUCCACGGGGACUAAAUUACUUUCCCCUUUCAUAGAUAAGGUCAUUAGAGUACGGGAAAGUCAGAGGAAUUUGCAUCCCAGACGGUCAGCCUCCAUAGCUGCUAUUGUCCUCCCAGAUACCAAGGGGACUUUAUAAAUAUAAAGGGAUCCUGUUUGCCCCCUUGUAAAUAGCAAAUAACCCCCACCUCCCCUUUGAGGUACAACAGAAGCUAUGGUAACAGUCUCCUUCAAAGAUAACUCUUAGUCUCUGUUUCCUCCUCCAUUUUAGUGAUGUAGCCUAGGUAGUACUGUCGUUUAGAUUAGCUAUUAGUUGCAAGUGACUUUGAAAUCUAUGUGGUAUAUAGACAAAUCAAAUAUGGCCAUAUCUGGGUGAAAGGGCUUUAUGCUUUGAUGCCUGUUUCUCAUGGAGGUAAACUGAGGUCAGUGAGCCAUGGCAGCUGUUUGUGCUAACAGACUUGUCCAUUCUGGAUUCUACCAAGAACCAGUUUACUGAACACAUCAGUCCACGUGGAAUUGCUAUCAAUGAAAAGAAAACUGAAGAAGCCCAAAUAGUAACAAUAGCAGACUGUAGUUGUGCAAACGGAUGCGAUGGUCUGCUGUCUCGUUCUAUCCUUACUUCAACAUCUGACCCCAAUUCGAGUAAGACAUGUUGUACAUCUCAGAGUAUCUCUCACCCCAAACUACAUGCCUACUCCAAACCAACCGCUUCCGAUUUGCCUUCAAUUUUCCCAGCAUUAACACCAAAAUUCCCAAGCCCAGAGGAGCCCCCUCAGUCUCAGGCAAACAAGAAUGGUUUAUUCCCAGCAUUCACACACCAUAAGCAUCUGGAGUCAUAGUCACAUUGUUCUGAAGCUGGCAGAAGCAGAAACCUCCACACUCCAACUAAGAUAUCAAGAAGCUGAGCUUAAAGUGGCGGAGUCCUUUACCUCCCGGCGGCAAACUGGCAGAGGCAAGCCUGUGUUCUUCCACACUCAGACAAGUCAGCAAUGACAGCUUUUGUUUUAUUUUUAGAGAUGGGGAGGGGGUCUUGCUAUGUAGCCCAGGCUAGCCUUAAACUCUCUAUUCUCCUGCCUCAGCCUCUCAAGUGUUGGGAUCACAGGAGUGGACCACCAAUUCAGGUAAUAGGUGUUUGUCUCCGUUGGUGCUCGCUUGUGGUUUUAAGGAAGCAUACACAUCUAUAUAAGCUCUCAAGGGGGAUCCAUGAGUAAAGGAAUUUGCAGAUAAGCUUUCUUUGCCAUGUUAAGACAACUAAAUAACUUUUCUCAAGAAAAGGGGGGGGGGGAGACAAGAAAAAAAAUCAAUCCUUUAGAUCAUUGUUGAAAGCAGCCAUGUUCCUAUGAGCUGAAUAUGAAGAGAAUUUAUAAUAAAAUCCUCCCUAACUACAGAUUCUCCCAAAUGCUCUCAGGUCGAGAUAACCCUUUCUUCCCUUUAUGAAGCAGAAAAUAUAAAUCAGGUACUGCAGUUUGAGCCUGGGUCCUUGCACACGCAUACUGAUACACACUUUACCACGGACCUAUACCCAAACCCCUUUGUUGGUUGCUGCAUUUGAGACAGGACGUUGUUCUGUAAGUUUUUCAGGCAGGCUUUAAAUUUGUGAUCCUCUUCUUCAAGCCCCAUGUAGCUGGGAUUUCAGGUGCAAACCACCAGCCCUUGCUAAGCUGCAAGUCAUUAAAAACUAAUUUCUCUUAAGAAUAAGUUUUUCCGUAACACAUGUUGAAAAUGCAUGAAAAUUCAAUCAUCAAUCCAAUGGACUUGCUAUUCAUAUUAAUGAAUUUUGAGGCACUGUUAGAAGCUGAGUUAUCACAGCUGACCACAUGUUCUCUCUGUAAGGACAACAGAAGCUAAUACAGUGCAAAGAUACUUUUGUUUCCAGGAUUCAAAACCACAAUGAGCUUUGUGUUCGGCCCUUGAUUAAACAAACAAUUAAUCAGCAUUUCCAUCCCCGUUUACCUAAUUAGGUUUUCUUCUUUGCAAAUAAGACAGGGUCACAUGUCAUUUUGAUUUAUUUCCAUUUCUACCAGUGUAAAUACAAAUGUACCACAACAUGACCUGUGGAAGAUGAAGGCCUGUGAUUUGAAAUAGGAAGGAGAGGGUCAGGAAGGCUGAGGCACAGUGGACUUGUCAUAGAAUAUAUUAAGGUCGAAGGCAGAGGAUUUGGAAACAAUAACACAACAUAAAAUAAAGGGAGCCUCGGUGCUAAUGAAAAGAUCAACACUCUUGCAUGCUGGCUGUGGUCCAAAAAAGUGCAAAAGCUCAGAGCUGUGAAAUGAAUGGAUUCCUCGCGCUGCAGCGGAACAGUUAAUGCAAAUUCCUCCAGGUUCAUGAAUCGCAUUUGGGAUCAGGCAGAUGGUCCAUCCCCAAAACCACGACUCCACCAAUUUCACAGAGAGCAGGUUUUCACAGGACAGUGAGCACAAAUGAAGAGAUGGAGAGAGAGAGAUAGCUACCCACAGCUCACUCUGUUCCGCUGGCUGCUAUGUUUCCUGUGCCAUUGUGUGAGGCAGUCUGUCUUCCCAGCAUUCCCAGGGGCACAGAGUUGCAAGGCAAGGGUGAGCUUCUGAGACCUGUUAAGUCUCUCUGCCUUUCUGAGGUUUUCUGAUAAGGAAGUCUGUCCCCUGUGAAGUGCCAGAGCCUCGGGCAGAGGGUGUUGAGUGAUCGCAUGAGGCUCUUGGUUGUACUGGGUUCCUUGCACACACCAUCUGCUUUGGUGUCGUGACACUAAGAGGGAAAACAAACAGCAGCAUGGGUGGAGCCAGGAUUCAGCUGCUUCUCUCUGUUACUACAUCACAGCUUUAUCAUCUCAAGAUAGAAGUUUUCUUUUACUAAGUUUUUCAGAGAUGUAAAGGUAUUUGCUGAUCCACAGACAGAUGGUGGAGUGAUUAAUAAAGUUGAGGAGAAUCAAUUAGUUUUUAAAAAAAUACUCUUUUACAGCCUUUCCAGAAGAUUUUAUGUUCUGCAUGUAUGGGAGGUCAAUAGAUCCGAGAGUAACUGCCUUUGAAAGGAUGAGUUGUGCUAGGUGUGGUGCUUAUGCCCAACUCUACAGGUCAAGGCUGUAGGCUUCCAAGUUCCAGGUCAACCUAGGCUAUAUAGUGAAAUUCUGUUAGGAAAGGGGAAAAAUGUAAGGAAAGAAGGAAGUGGGGAGGAAGGAGACAGGAAGGGAGGAGGAAGGGAGGAGGAAGAGAGGGAGGAAGGAGGCAAAGAGGAAGGGAGGGAGGAAAGAAGGAAGGAAGGAAGGAAGGAAGGAAGGAAGGAAGGAAGGAAGGAAGGAAGGAAGAAGGGAAGGAAAAGAUAUUUGUAACAAAUAUCAAAUAACAAAGAGGAGAAGGCAUGCCACACUGGGUAAGAAUGCCUGGGAACAGUAGGUUAGGAGGAAGGAGGGUUAGGAGGUAGAAGGUAAGGAUCAGAUGGGAGCCAAAGCCUUCAUGGGAAUUUUCAUGGGAAGAGAUGAGAAGCAGUGUAAGCUACCGUUCUAGCCCAGAGUUAGGCGCUUGCAGAAUUUGGUGAGCUCUGGGCUACAGGGUAGACCAUUGUUCUGUGAUAUUCAACCCUGUGGUGAUUUGCAGUAGGGGACAGUAUCUCAGACUACAGUUGCUAAAGAAGUCAUGUAGAAGAAUUGAGUCUGAAUUAUUGGUUUGCACAUCAGGGACAUUCAAGGCAAGUCAUCAGCUGUGAGAAUUAGCCAGCAGUAUAACAGGCCUUCUCUCUUCUAGCCCUUGUAACUCUGAUGUGCCGGGCACCUGGAAAUACAGAAAAUAAAAGACAUGGUCAGGAUAGGAGGGUAUAAGAUCACUCUGCCCCUGCCUUUAUACGCUCUGUCAUGGUGACCCAAGCAGAAGCCGUGACUAGAAACAUUUUGUUUGGUUGGUUUUGGUUUUUCGAGACAGGGUUUCUCUGUGUAGCCCUGGAUAUCCUGGAACUCACUCUGUAGACCAGGCUGGCCUCGAACUCAGAAAUCCACCUGCCUUUGUCUUCCAAGUGCUGGGAUUAAAGACGUGUGCCACCAUUGCCCAGCGACUAGAAACAUUUUUAAUGGGGCAAUUUUGCUACUGUCUGAAGUAGACUGCGUAUCUGUUAUAAGCCAUGGGCUCAACCACAAGCUCCUCUGUGAACAGCCUCUCAUCAGGGCGACACUUUCUUAUACAUUCAGAAGUCGGAGCUGGUUACCUACCUUCUGAUUUGAUGCAGUUUGGUUUUCCUGUCUCUAGAAUGAAAUUGACCCUCCAUCCUAAGUUUGGAAGAAUAUUUUGUCACUGUGUCAAUGAGUGGAUAAAGAUGUUAACUGCCUUCCGAGUACUCUGUGGAACACCGUCUUUUCAAGCAUGGCCACCUUCACUAAAAUUAUUAAAGUUGCUCGACACAAGGGCACUAGAGAAUCUGUCUUUAGAGAAGGUUUCAGUAGUCUGAGUCCUAGCUAGCUCUUUUCUUCAAUCUCUCUUCCCCCUCCCUCUCCCCUUCUCUCUUCCCUUCCCCUCUCUCUCCCCUUUCCCUCCACCUCUUCCUCUCUCUCCCCCUUCCCCUCCCUACCCCCCUCUCUCUGUACGUGAGUGUGUGUGUGUGAUGUUCAUGUGGGAAGGAAGGGUUAUUUACCAGUGCAUAUAUGAAACUCAGAGGACAGACUGUGGUUUUGAUCCUCGCAUUCCACACAUUAGAAGCAGGGUCUCUUUGUUGUUUCUUGCUGCCUAUGCCAGGCUGGCUGGCCAAUUUGUGCUUCUAGGGCAGCAGUUCUCAACCUGUGGGUUAUGACCUAACUUAGGAUCAUAUAUCAGAUAUUCCUGUAUAUCAGGUAUUUAUAUUAUGGUUCAUAACAGUUAUAAAGUAGCAAGAAAAUUAUUUUACAUUUGGAGGGUCACAACAUGAGGUACUGUGUCAAAGAGUAGAAGCAUCAGGAAGGCUGGGAACCUUUGGUCUAGGGUCUCUCCUAUGUCUGGCUUCCCUGUCAUUAUAUGCAUACUGGGAUUAUCGGCAGGCUUCCAUUGGGGGAUCCAAAUUCAGGUCCUUAUACUUGUGUAGAAAGUACUUCACCCACUACACCAUCUUCCCAAACCUCCAGCUGUCUCUCACACGUUCCCAGGCCAUGAUUGAUGAGAGCCCUAUCUUGGAACUUGAGCCUGUAUCUGAUUCUGUGGUUGGAGAAAGGACUUUGCAGCCAGGUAGACCUAACUUCAAACCUUCCCUUCACUUCUUAGUUGAAUCUGUAUGGUGGAUAAAACUACUAAACUUAGAAUCUAGGAGCUUUGUUUCAAUAAACUGAGAUAUUAUCUGUCUUUUCCAGUAUAUGAUUAUUAGUCUAUACUAUGUAUAAGGCACUCUGCUAGUUACUGACUUUGUGCUAGGUCACAUUCAUAGCUAUUCUUCACCAUAUGUGGCUCCUUGGUCACAGGCUGGAAACUCUGUCAUUUAUUUGUUUAGACAGUGUCUUUCUGUGUAGGCCAGGCUGGCCAUCAACUUCCAAUCCUUUGAUUUCAGUCUCCUGAGCGCUAGGGUUACAGUACUCACUUAGAUCUCUUUGUCAGACCUUUGCUGCACACUGAACAUCGUUAACCGUCAAAACCACCUGUGGCUUAUGAAUGCCUGUAACCAUCAUCAGUAGAUCUGAAAAUGUUAUAGGAUGGGUGGUUAAUAGAGUCAAUUUAUGGACUUCCAGACAUUCUCUUUUCAUUUGGGAACACCAUGCACACCCUAGCUCAGAUGUACUUCAGUUUCAAAGAACCCCUCCCCAACCAUCGUUAGCCCUGAGGUCUCUGUUCCACCUUGCCACAGCUGAGGUUGCACUGAAACAGAGACCAAGGCCAUGGGUUGCAAAACUCUGUGUAAGCCAUAGCAUGGAUGAGGUAGUCCAUCAAGCAUGGCCUCCCAACAUGUGUCACCUAUCCUCCACUGUCCCAGGGUGUGACUUCUAGCUACUCUUAGGAAAGAAAAGUCAAGUCCCAUCGAAAACUACCGCUGUUCUCUGGGGGCUAUCACACAGCCGUUGCAGAGCCUCCACCUGCUAUAUCAGCAGAAAUAUCCUCAAGAGGAUCUGUGUCCUUAACAAUUCGGAGAAAAUCUCCGGGACAUAUGGUCUGAAUGAAGACAAAUAUAACUUAAAAAUCACGUGUUGACCGGUUUAAGGCAGUGGAAGGUGGAAACUUGGAGACUGAUUUUUGCCCUGGAAAUUUUGUUGUGUGCCAUCCCCUCUGAGCCCGAGGAGCCUGAGGCUUGCCUUCUGGGAGCACUCCAGUACGAGGAAACUAUAUUGAGUAACUAGUCUUAUGUGGUAGAUGCUGCUUGCUAGUUCACAGCUCCUAUCUAUUUGUGUUGCUAUUGUAUAAUUACACUUUGACAUUCCCCAUGUAACUGAACUUGCUCCUGAAUUGUAAGUUAUCUUCAACACCUCCUGUGAAGACACAUGACUGACAUUUUAAAUGCAAGUUAAGAUCCUUGCUGGGCCAGCAAUGGUGCUACUCAAUCUACCACCGUAUAGUGUCAACCCUUCAAAAGAUCUCCAUCGAUGGUGUCUCUUCUGCCUAUAUUUACCUGUCUGUCUCUCCAGAUAGAUGUUUGCAACAACACCACCCCCCGAAGACCUUACAGUCCCCUGGAGCCUGAGCAAUUCAUUGACUUUAAUCCAGCCACCCAAUAUGACAAGAGAUAACUGUCUCCUGAGCUCACAUUUGCUUCUAAUGACCCUGUCCCCUUCACUACAUGCCUGGAUGGAAGGAAGCCUACAUCAGAAACCACUUCAACACAGUCCAAACCUAACUACUGUGGUUUCAAAGGUCACAGGGAGGUUACUAAAAACAAAUUUGAUAGCUCAGAAGGCCUCCGACUGGGAAAAGCCCUAUAAACUUAAUGGCACUUAUGAAUUUAUGGGCUAUUGUUACUAAAUGAGUCAUCUUUAUACAAAAAGAAGCAAGGAACUGUGAUUUUAUUAGGGUGAUACGACAGUCUCGGUUUACAGAGAUGACUAUAACCUAUAAGUCUAAGUGGCUUGUGUCCCCAGAAAUUGCCCUCUUCUACAAAGUAAGGUGUCUUUCUUUUCUCCAAAUAUCUGUGCCGCUCACUUAACCCAUUUAUCUCAUUAAGAUCAGUUCCCGACUGUGAUAGGACAAAGUCUGGAAAACUGGUAGGAAGGCAACUCCAUGGAUUAGAAAGAUGCUGUCCAAUACUGACCAGCAAUGUCCCUUUCUGGUGCAUCUUCCUGCAGGCUCAAACUGAAGCCGAGCACCCUGCUUCCUCAGCUGCAAACACGGAGAGGCUGGGAUUGGUGGACGAUGCCCUUGGUGGGAUUGCACUUUUGCCCAGGCUUUUAAAGUCCAUCUGGCUCAAUAAAAGGUUGGCAAACAGCCCCUUGCCGAGAGGAAUUCAGUUAGCCUACCCCAUGCAGUAACUUAUCCGGAGGCAAAAACCAAGAUGCCAACAGAAGAUGGCUCCCUGCUUGUCAGAUUGCUGCUCCCUGGGAACUAGUUAAGUUGGGGUGUGGAGGCACUACAGGGCUCCCAUCAACACAGGUAGAGUUCUCUUUCUUGAGUAAUCUGUACUUUAGCAGCCUAGUUUUGUGUGCGCGCGCAUGUACAUGCAUGCAUGCAUGUGUGUGUGUAUAAAUAUUGGACAAAUAAGAGGGGAAGGAGGUAUGCGGACCUGGCAUUUCUUUAGACAGUAAGUGAAGUCUCUUUCUAGGUGAGCCAGGGCAUCAUCAUGAGUGACUGCAUUUGACAUAUAACUUGUCGCAGCCAUCUCUUCUGUCCAGACCUAGGCCCGGCUGGCGCAGAGGUCAUGCUCCCUGAGACCGCCCCCAAAGCACUGACAAGCUUGGCUUCUUCCUCCUACUUGAAGCAGCCAUGCUAUAUUCUAUGCCAAGCAGGCAGGACCCAGGGAACGAUCACAAUGCAUUCCUCACCCUUUGGAAUGGACAAUACAUGCCUCAUAGUCUCGGACACAGGGCCAAGGUCUCGCCUCUCUCUCUUUUUACCCAAACAAGCUUUUCUACCUGGUUCCCUCCCCAUGUCCAUGUCUGUUUCUCCAUAUUACUGGAUGGAAGUCUAACAGGUGAGCAUACCCACCAUGGAGACUGGUUUGAACUUCUCUCUGGACUUUGGCAAACAUAUGUAGCUUCCUUGAGACCCAAUUUCUUCAUCUAUCUGUCUUAUAGAUGUCGCAUCCCCACUGUGCCUGUUAUGAAAAAUGUGAAAUGUCCCCAAGGGGCUUCUGUGUGUGAAAAUUUGUUCUCUAGCAAAGGGGUGUGGCUUGAGAGGUUUUAGGAAGCGGGAGAAGGCAGACCCCUGGAAACAGGAUCUUAGAGGUAUCUAAUCCCCAUCUCUUCCAGUCAUGGUCUUUGUUUCCUGGCCUGCCACGAUAUGAACAGCCUGCUGAGUGGCCCAACCACAGUGGUGUCCCCACCACCAUGCCUUCCUUGUCCCUGUGGACUAAAAUAAAUUGAAAGCAUGAACCAGAGUCAAGCCUCCCUUUCUGGGGUUAUUUCUCAGGCCUCAGCAACAAUGAAAAUAACACAUAAAAUACCUUAUCAGCUAAAGCUGUGGGCGUGAAUGUUUACACGGAUGGUAAAUUGUAUGUAGUAUAAUUUGUGCAGUAGAGCAUCUGUUACAGAAUAGGUGUGUAAUAAAGUAUUAUUGAGAGAGGCCAUUUUCACCCUGAUGAUGAUGUAGCAUGUGAGGCAGAACCUAAAGGUCUUUUGGGAGUGAUGGCAACAAUCUCUUUUAUCUCAGAUGUCUUUGGUUAGGUCCUGAGAACACUGAAGAUCAAUGUUAGAUUUGAAACAAAGGUGGAAGGCCUUGAAUAUGUUCUCCAUUAGAAGAUCAGGAUGGUUCUUAUCCCUAUAGUUCCCCUGAAAACAAGACAGAAUGGCCCUUUAGAGCUUCCUUAAUGCUAGGAUACCACAGUAAUAGCUCUAAUAAUGUUACAGCCUGAGGUGUACUCAGCUUUCAGCUGAGCAAAUGGUAGAAACUAAACCCAUGGCCGGUAUUAUCUGUUUAUUAUAAGUACUCAUUUAUGAAAGUGGUCUCUUGCGAUGAGAUGUUGUCUGCUUUGGACACCUCACCAAAGAGUCUUGAAUCCUCGAAGCCCAGGUGAUCAUCAUGUGGACUGAAGCUGAAACUAUUCACUGUUGUGUAAUAUUGUUCUCAAAUGGAAUCACUUUAUAAAACCCUUCUCACCUUCUUUCCAUGCCUAGUCCCCAAUCACAUGUGUGUGAGUGCCCCAGAGCUAACACCCACCAUCUAGCAUGUGUGUCCCAGGGUGAAGCAGUGACACUAUUCAAGAAGGAUUGAGACUAUUUGAGAAUGAGGCCCUUUAUCAGUCUUUCAGAAGGCUCAAUUUAGCAUUUAUGGUUCAAUUAUGCAUUCCUCUGGGAAAUAUCCAUAAAACCUGAAUUCAGUCAGGUCUGCUUCUCUUUGUGUCUGCUUCUAAAAAUUAAUGCAUUCAUCAAGCCAUAACAAGAGGCUGCUCUGCUCCACAUGAAGCAUGUCUCACAAGAUGCAACACCAAAUUACCAUGCAGUAAUGGACCUCUCUGUACUGACACAAUGACCCACAGACACAAGAGUGAGGAAAAGACUCUGCCCAGAGCAAGGGGUACAGACAGUGACACUUUGUUGAGUGUGGUAAUUACGACUGUAAACAGAUGCAGUGCACAUGCAGAACUUAGAGAAACCCCUCACAUGCAUUACUCCCUGUGAGUCGUAUAAGAACCCCAAGAGAUUGGCAAAGUCAGCAUUAUUAUUGUUCUCAUUAGUUAUUGUUUUCUCAAUGGUUCAGCUUGCCUGUUAACGUGAGUGGAUUUAGAAUCAGUUAGAUUAAUAAAGGAUACAGUUGGAUGGAUCUAUGGAGAGGUUUCCAGAAACUAUUAACUAAUAAGGGAAGCUCUGCUCUGCCUGUGGGUGUCAUUGUCCCAUGGGCUGGCAACAAAGAGCGUUGGGGAGGAAGCCCAGGCACUCAGUACUUUAUAUGCGUCCUGACAGUCAUGUGGUGGGUGGUUUUUCUCCAUGUGCCCUCGUGGCCAUGGUGGUUUGGAAGCUCUGUAACCACAACAUAGGUAUAUCUAUCCCUUCCCUACUUUGUUCAUAUCAGGUAUUUUGUCACAAGGAUGAAAUAUUAGAUUAACAUAAUUAUAACUGAUUGUCCCAAACAUCCUUACAUAUGCUCUCCUCUCAAAGUUUCCAUUAGCAUUGAGGGAGUUAAAAAAGGACCUGAACUCCAGUCAUCAAAUUUAGAUCCUAGUGCCAAUCAUAAUCUGCCCCUAAACCCUAAUGUUAGAACCCUGAAAGGUUAAACCCCUUAACGUCUGAAAGUCCCCCCAAAUCACAAUCCCCAAAUACUGAAAUGCCAAGUGUUGAAAUAUCAGACAGCAUGUUCAUGAAAACGAGAGUUUAUGUUGGAAAUGGUUGUCUAAGCAGAUUGGGGGUGGGGGGCAAACCCUGGAGAAGGGACCAGUGUGUGAUAAUGCUCUGGGGCUGACAAUUACAUCUUGUUGGUAACACAUAUCUAGAAGGCUGGAAAACAACCAUUCUUAGAGUACUAAUUCACUUUACACAUUUUUUGUUGUUGUUGAAAAUUUGAUUGGGUCAAAGGUGAUCACCCAAGAAGUCACUAAGUGUACAAUAGUGUUCAUGUGCAGAAAGAUAUUGAGACCUCCCCAGUAAAUAGGGAGAAGGUGCCAUUGCUUUUUUUUUUUUUUUUUUUUUUAUGUUUGCCUUUGUGAAAGAUAAAAAUUCUUAAGAUCUGGUGCUGGAGAGAUGGCUCAAUGGUAAAGAGCUCUUUCAGAGGGUCUAGGUUGAGUUCACAGUACCAUGUUGAGAUCACAACUUCCUAUUAUCUCCAGCUGUAGGGGAUGCAGUGCCCACUUCUUGCACUCAUAUGUGCGCACACAAGCACACAUGAGCACACACACACACACACACACACACACACACAAAUAUAUCCAUUAUUUUAAAAAUAAAAUAAAUUUAAAAAAAACUUGCAAGAUCUCAGCUCUCUUACACUAUGAAGGCUGUAGUAGCUUACAGGCAUGAGAAAUAUGUCCUCAUAGAACAAUAUAUAUAUAUAUAUAUAUGUACGUAUAUAUAUGUAUGUAUGUAUAUAUACAUAUAUAUACAUAUUGUGUAUUUAUUCUUUUAAGUUUUAUUUUAUGCGUGUGACUAUCUUGCAUUCAUGCAAGCAUGUGUACCAUAUAUGUUCCUGGUACCCUCAAAGGUCAGAAGAGGGUGUUAGAUGUCCUGGAACUGAAGUUAUCGGUAGCCCUGAGCUGCCAUGUUAGUACUGGGAAGCAAAACUGAGGCCUCUGCAAGAGCAGCCAGUGGUCUUCAUGGCUGAGCCAUUUCUCCAGCCUCUGUUGUAUAGUUCAAAGUAAUGAAAAGAAGGGCUCUCUAAUGCUUCACUACAAAGAAACAAUAAAUAGAUGUUGAUUUGAUCGUUAUAUAAUGGAUACAUAUCACAGUGUGCCCUAUAAAUUUGCUCAGUUACUACUUACUGACUAAUAAUAAAAUUUUCAAAACCUCAAAAAAUAAUUUAACUUUGAAAAAAUAAGAUUAUGAGACUAAGAAGUAGGCUCGGUGGUAGAGCAUUUGCUUAAUAUUCCUAAGGCCCUGGGUUCUAUACACAGGGCUACAAGAGAAAUCAAACUCAAAAAAAAAAAAGAAAAAAUAAUAUGUGAUAUUGUUCAUAUGAUUAAAUACAGUUAUGGGAGAUAAGUAUCUAACAUGUGCCAAGGCUGAGCAGGUCCCAAAGAAUUCCAUCAUCACAAAACAGUAAAAUAAUAAUAUGAGCAGGUUUCUACCAGAAACAGUUGUGGAAGAGAAAAUUGGUUUUAAAGAAAUCGGCUGUGUUUAUGUAAAUGCAAUUAUAAUUUGUAACAAGCCUCCUCUAGCUCUUGGUAACUCGGAGCCUUGUCUUGCACUGCUGUGUCAGCACUAGAAACUGGUCCAAGUUCUUGAAGAUUUUAAAUUAUUGAGGCCAUUUUUCUUUCACACUAUCGUAGAAUCUGUAGACUUCCCUUGCCGGAAGUAUUUGAUGUUGUAUAAACUUCUGUAAUAUCAUGAAGAAGUUUAAACCAUGAAGAAGAAGGGCUGAAGGCUCUGGUCACAUGCAACAUCCCAUUACCCAGUCCCACGUGGUCCACUGUGGCUUAGCUGUGUCAUCCACUCAACUACUUCCACAUUCCAAUUGUUGUGUAACCAUAAGGUACCUGAUCAUUUAAUUCCCAGAUUCUCUCUAGUGUAGUGGGUACACAAAUUUAAAAAUAUAUAUAUAUAUAAAUUUCACUAUCCAAGAGGACAUGCAGAUAGAAUCAGAUCAGAAUGCCCUGUAUGAGACACUCGCUGUUCCGUGCAUCCGCUGGGCAUGAACUCUGGGCAUAAUCCCCAAAGGCAGUGUCAGGCCACGGAGAUCCUGCUGCUCUGCCCAGCAGUUUAUAGGAGCCAUUCCAGCUCAGAUGUUUUUCAACUGUUGGUUUUGAUUGCUGUUGCUUUGAUUACCUUCAUAAUCCAAUAUUCAGCCAUUAAACAGUUGAGAAUUCAACCCCAAAGCUUGUGUACCCCCCUGGAUCUGAUGAUCAGUUGCUGUAGAAAUGGAGGGUUGCAGCUCAGAGCCUGGUGGGAAAGAUCUGAUGUGUUUGUAUGGUGUAUGCUUCCCCUACUCCACUGCUGUGCAAUCUACUCCAUCAACAGAAUCCUCUUUCUAAACUCUUCACCUGUACAGCCUGUCUUGUCCACCCUUGUACUUCCCUUGCAAGUAUGUUACUGCCCUCUCACCCACUGGUAGCAUCUAUUGAACAUAUCUUGGCCAAGAUACUGCCCACUCCAUCAGCCUUCCUGCCUGAGCUUUUCCCUAUCAGGCACAUCAUCCAGGUAAUGACCUCAUCCCCCAUUAUAUUUUGGUUUUAGAGAAGGUAUCCAAGGUCCUUUGUGUCUGGUUCCAACUACAAAACCACAAAGCUGAACACACAGACUGGUGGGAAUUCUUGCAGAUAGCACAACAGCUCUAGUUCUGCAUAGCCUAAAAUGCCUGCACCACACUCAAGAAGCUUCCAAGCAGAUUCAACCUGUCAAUCAGUUCACCUCAGCGUCAAGAGCAUCCUCACUCCCCUACCCUCGCCCAGCAAACGGGACUUCAAGAAGCACAGCCACCAGUAAAAGCUGCAAAAACUCCAGGAAGGGGUGUGUGAGGGAAAGUCAUGCUUGGCAUCAAGAGCGAGCCAAGCAGUUGGGGGCACCCUGGGUUGCUUGGGCUGCCGGGAAGGAUGGUUUUUUCAGAGAGUACUCUCAUAGAGCACGUAUUGUUCUCAUUGAUUUUCAUUCUUUAGUUUCAUGUAAUUACUGUUUCUUUUAUCUCCUUUCUUUGGCUUUCUCUCUUUUCCUUGGCAUAUAUUAUAAACAUAUGUGUUCAUUUUUCUGGAAAUCUGUAGCCCUUGCUAAGUUUUAUUAAGGGGUUCAUUUGAAGAAACAAACUCCCAGUUAGUGAGAUGCAGGACUGGGGAUUCCGGGAAGGUGGAAGCUGAUGUCCAGAGUAUGUUUUAUUACUCGGGUCUCCCUCUCACCUCAUUUGCCUUUAAAACUAAAUAUGUGACAAACUGAGCUAUCUCGGUGAGGAAUGGGUGCUCACAAAAGGCUAAUUACUUUGGUUUCCUCUUGUCUUUAAAAAAAAAAAAUUCCCUUUCCCAAAAUAGCUGAUAAAUGGUUCUUUGUAGGGAUGACCGGGCGCAGCUUCCCCUGCCGUUAAACGCCCGUUUGACAUCUUAGUGGGCGUUAGGGUUGCAUAUCAGAUCCAGACCUCAAGCUGGGAUGCUUGUGUGUGAGGGUCUCAGAAGGUUAGGAGCUAGAGGACACAAGCUGAUCCUAACAGGAAAUGUUUACCUUACAAUAUUUUAGAUUUAUAAUCUUCCGAGUUCAAAUGCUCCGAAGUCAGAAGAGGGGGCUGUGAACACUCUGUGGUAUCCUCAUUGCACAGCCACAUGUGCCAUUUUGGUUGACUUUACCCAAACUCCCCUUCACUUGGUGCUUUUUGGAUUUUACCAUAGAAGUUACAAAAUUCUGAGUUCCUGAGACCCCUCUCCUCCCACCCCCUUUUGCCCGAACUCAAUCCCGUGACCCUAAAUUGCUUCACAUCUCUGACUUUGCCGCCAACCUCCCAUUGUUCAGUUGAUCUCUACUAGAUAUCCAGAAGAAAGCAGCCUUAUUAAACGGUCAUCAUAAUGAAUGGAUGGAUGAUUGAUUGAGCCUUCCCAAGAGAAUUUUGAUUUAAUAGUGUUGUUCUCAUAAACCUGUGUCUACUGGACAGAAUCUCAGGUACCUACAUCAACAUUUACUGAAGGCUUAUUAAAAGUUGGUUGUGGUCCUUAGUGCUUUGUGGCAGUCACAGAAUUAAAUAAGUAACUAUGCAAAACAGGGAAGAACUCUUUUCUAACACCUCAGUCUUUCGUCCCUCACUUUAUCCUAGCCACCAACUCCCACUUCAUCCAGGUAUCUGCUUAUAUAUACACCGUAUCCAAUCUUCCCACCAAACCUCGUUCUCACGUGUCCCACACUUGGAGAAGAUGCCAAUUAAGUAAAGCAUUUUGCACCAUAGAGUGGUUCUCUCUGCUCUAUUAUCACCUUACUCUGAACCACUGCACCCAGACCUCACUCUUCCACCUCCAAAGGAUUAAGCUCCACGACAAAAGUAAUUUGAUGCUUGUGGGUUUUUUUUUUCCCCUUACCAUUCGCAUCUCUUCAUCUCCUAAUUUGAAAAUGUUUUCUAAUCCAAAGCAGCUCUUCCUUCUAAACUUGGCUUCCCCGUGAAGUUCUUUCAUAUGGUGGAAAUUACCAUACUUUAUUGGAAUGUAUGAGGAAAAAUGUUUCCAUUUUCUCUCUUUCUUUCUUUACAAUAAAUUCACCUUUUUGUUUUGUUUCCAGACAAGGGUUUGUGUGUGUGUGUGUGUGUGUGUGUGUGUGUGUGUGUGUGUGUGUGUGUGUAGCCCUGGCUGAUCUGGAACUUGCUCAGUAGACCAGGCUGCCCUCAAAAGUCUCCCAAGGACUGGGAUUAAAAGCAUGUGACACUGCACCGCUAUAAUAAUUCAUCUUAUGCCAAGUUUUUUUCCCUAUGUUCUGUGAAUGAGCAGGGUUUGCACAGGGGCUCCUAUUAAAGUAAACUAUGUACUUGUUUGUUUGUUUGUUGGACAGGGUUUAAGUAUUUUAUUUAGUUUACAGUCUCAUCAACAUUUGUUUUCUUUUUUCUUGGAUAUUUUCUUUAUUUACAUUUCAAAUGUUUUCCCCUUUCCAGUUCUCCUCUUUGGAAACCCCUCAUCCCAUCCCCCUUCCCUCUGCCUCUAUGAGGGUGCUCCUCUACCCACUCACCCAUCCUCUCGCCCUGGCAUUCCCCUAUACUGGGGCAUUGAACACAUUCAGGCCCAAGGGCCUCUCCUCCCACUGAUGUCCAACAAGGCCAUCUUCUGCCACAUAUGUGACCAGCGCCAUGGGUCACUCCAUGUGUAUUCUUUGGUUGGUAGUACAGUCCCCAAGAGCCUUGGGGAGGGGGGUCCUGACCUGUUGACACCGUUGCUCCCUCCAUGGGGGCUGCAAACCCCCUCAGCUCAUUCAAUCCCUUCUCCAUCUCCUCAAUCGGGGACCUCCAAACUCAGUCCAAUGGUUGGCUGCAAGCUUCCUCCUCUAUAUUGGUCAGGCUCUGGCAGAACCUCUCAAGAGACAGCCAUAUCAGUCUUCUAUUAGCAAGCUCUUCCGGGCAUCCACAAUAGCAUCCUGGUUUGGUGGCUAUAUAUUAGAUGGAUCCCCAGGUGGAGCAGUCUCUGGAUGGCCUUUCCUUCAGUCUCUGCUCCACAGUUUGUCUCCAUAUUUCCUCCUGUGAGCAUUUUGUUCCCCCUUCUAAAAAGUACUGAAGCAUCCACACUUUGGUCUUCCUUCUUCUUAGGCUUCAUAAGGUCUGUGAAUUGAAUCUUAGAUAUUCCCAACUUUUUGGCUAGUAUCCAUGUAUCAGUGAGUACAUACCAUGUUUUUUCCUUUGUGACUGAGUCACCUCACUCAGGAUGAUAUUCUCAAGAUCCAUCUAUUUGCCUACGAAUUUCAUGAAGUCAUUGCUUUUAAUACCUGAGUAGUACUCUAUUGUGUAAAUGUACCUCAUUUUCUGUAUCCAUUCCUCUGUUGUGGGACAUCUGGGUUGCUUCCAGCUUCCAGCUAUUAUAAAUAAGGCUGCUAUGAACAUAGUACAGCAUGUGUCCUUAUUACAAGUUGGAACAUCUUCUGGGUAUAUGCCCAGGAGUGGUAUUACUGGAUCUUCCAGUAGUACUAUGCCCAAUUUUCUGAGGAACUGCCAAACUGAUUUCCAGGGUGUUUGUACCAGCUUGCAAUCCCACCAGCAAUGGAGGAGUUUCCCUUUUUCUCCACAUCCUCACCAACAUCUGCUGUCACCUGAGUUUUAGCCAUUCUGACUGCUGUGAGGUAGAAUCUUAGGGUAGUUUUGAUUUGUAUUUCCCUGAUGGCUAAGGAUACUGAACAUUUCUUUAGGUGUUUCUGAGCCCUUUGAGUUUCCUUGGUUGAGAAUUCUGUUUAGCUCUGUUCCCCAUUUUUUAAUAGGGUGAGUUCUUUGUAUACAUUGAAUAUUAGCCCUCUAUCAGAAGUAGGAUUGGAAAAGAUCUUUUACCAAUCUGUUGGUUGCUGUUUUGUCCCAUUGACAGUGUCCUUUGCCUUACAAAAGCUUUUCAGUCUUAUGAGGUCCCAUUUGUCAAUUCUUGAUCUUAGAGCACAAGCCAUUGGUGUUCUGUUCAGGAAUGUUUCCCCUGUGCCCAUGUGUUUGAGGUUUUCCCCAAUUUCUCUUCUAUUAGAUUCAGUGUAUCUGGUUUUAUAUGAAGGUCCUUGAUCCACUUGGACUUGAGCUUCUAGUUUUGUUUUUAACAUUUAUAAGUCCUUUUUUUUUUAACAAUAAAGAAAUGUUUUUAAUGGAAGUAUUAUAGAUGUUACAACCUAGACAAUUUUAAACAUUUCAUUGUAGAAAUUGGUAAAUAGAAAAACAAAUCUAAGCUUUUAAAGUAAAAUUGAUUGUAUAAUUUCCUUUUUCUAAGUAGCCUUCAAGUGUUUCAAAUGUAUAAUAGUGGUAACUAGAUUCUAAGACUGUACACUCUCUUCCUGUUGUCCCUCCCUGUCUGUCCAUCACUCACAUCAUCUCCCCUGAUCAUGCUGCUCUAUUGCUCUGGACCAUGCCUCACUCAUAGAGCCCUUGGCAGCUACAGUAAACAGAGAAAGUGGAAGAUAGGAAAGAGAGGGAGGGAAAGGAAGCGGGAGAGAAUGAGUGAACAUGUGUCAGGCAGUCAGUGGCGCUGGGCUUUGCUUUGGCUAUUUUAUGUUUUCUAUAGUUAAGUCGAUGUUCUCGUUCAAGUGGCCUAUAUCUUUGUAAAAAUGUGUUUUUACUUAUUAUUUGAGAAAUUUAUACGUGUAUAUAAUGCACUUUGACAAUACCCACCACUGUUCUCCUCCUAUGAUUCUUCUCAGACCCGUCACCAAGUAUCUGCCCCCCACAUCCAGGUCCUUUAACAAAAAGACAUGCCACUGAGUCCAACUGGUAUUUCCUCGGUGUGCACAGACACAGAGCAAGGGCCACGACCCUGAAGGAAACGGACUCCCCUUGAGUAGUCAUCUACUGCCAUUAGGUCCUCAGACACAGAGCUUCGCAAGCUCCUCCCCCAUCCAUAGUGGAAUUUUGACUGACUGGGUCUUAUGCAGCUCUUCUGUGGGCAACUGCACCUGCUGUACGUUAUUGAGCACAAAGGCACUGUCCAGAAGACACUGCUCUGUAGCAGUUCAAUGUGACCUCUGGGUCUCGCAGUCUUUCUACCACAUCUUCUGCAGUGGUCCCUGCCUUGGCAGAAGAGGAUGUGAUAUAGUUGUCCACCUAAGACUGUGCACUCUGCUAUUGCUUAGUCUUUGCACCUUGGCCAGUUGUGAGCCUCUGUAGUAACCUCAUUCCGUGCAUAAGAAGCAUCUCUGACGCGGGCUUUAAACGCACUAAUCUGUGGAUGUAAAGAUGAAUAUUUAGAAGACAUCGUACCAGGCAUGAUCUCCAUGCUACUUUUAUGUUUAAUUAGCUUAUAAGGUUGCAUGUUCCCUUGUUGAUUUUCAUUCACACUUGGUUUUAAUUGUUCCUCUCUUUCCCCUCCCCCUCAUUUCCCUCUCUCCCAUUCCUGCUUUACCCGCCCUCCCCUUCCAAUCCUGUAGAUUCAAGUCAGACUGUAUCACCCUCGAAUUUGCACGUAACUAGCUUGUGAAAACACGAGCUCUGAACAUGUCUUCUUAGCAAAUGGUGAGGCUUCGGUCAUGGUACCUGUUGCUUCUGUACAGAACAUCAUGGUAGGAAAUAUGUGCCAGAGAGAAGCAGCUUACCUCACAGAAGGCAAGAGACAAAGUAAGAGCACAGGGAAAAGACCAAGGGCAAGAGCACACCCCCUUUAACCAAGCCCUACUUCCCGAGUGUCAAUUACUCCACAACAGACCAUCAAAUUAGGAAUCAAUCAAUGGGCUAAUCUAUCAUUAAGGUCCCAGCCCUCAUGUCCAGUCACUUCUUAUGAGCCCCACUUAGGAGCAUAGCUGACCUAUGGACCAAGCCUUAGCCUUUGGGAGGAUUUCCAGGUCCAGACCACAACGUUUGCGUUGGUCCAUCAGUGACACUCGUUUCAGUUUUUAUCAGAGAACAGCUACUGAAGAAUCACCAACAUCGAUUAUUUUUUUAAUUUUUUGAAACUGACUUAACUUUGAAAGGGGAUUAUCUAGAGUGGGGAAGGGAGGGUGUCCCCGACAUUACUGUCAUUUUAUGUUAACAAAUUUAACAUGCACAGUUAAAACAAUAUAUUUUACUACAACCUUUAGAGUAAGUAUUACCUUAACGUUACAGCUGUUUCCACCUUUCUUAUAUCGUCAGGGACUAGUGAAAACUGUCUCAUGGGACCCCAGCACAGUAUCAAGGAACCACCUGACCCUGCAGCUGGAGGGCAGGGUCUCUUGAGGACCCUGGUAUAACCUGGAAAACCUCUUCCAGGGAAAUAGGCAUGAAGAGCCAAGCUUCUGUGAAGACUGUCAGGCUGUCCCUGGCUAAGAUACGACCCUGUGUGGCAGAACCAGCUGCAUGGCUAGAGAUGGGCCAGUGGAUUCAGUAGACUCUGUCAUCGACUGCACCCAGGUGCAGAGCUCACUGCCCCUCCCUACAGGAACUAGCAGUAGAACUCACAUUGUAAUUGGUAUGACCCGAGUCUAAGUGCUUAACGCCCCCAGCAUAUCACAGAGUGGCCAAUUGACGCUUUCCCAGAACUACAGAAACACAAAUCACUAACACCAUUCUCUGUCUACACAGCAGUUGGGGAGCCGAGGUUAAGUUGGAGGCCCUAGAGACAGAGAGCCUCUGGGGACAAAGAACAAUAGGAAUGUACUUUGACACCAGAGGAUAAUACAGCCACAGAUCACUUAAGACGUUUUGAAUAGAUACAACUGACUAAAAGAGACAAUUUCCUCCCCUCCUACUACUUAGCCUGGGGUGAGGACAAAACCCAGCAAACCAGUCCCAUUAACCCUAAUAAAACUAAUCCAUUAAUGUGUGAAUGAGCAUAAUUCUACAUAAGAGUUCACGGUAAUAUAUGCCUGAGAAGUUUGAGCUAAUAUACACAUAAAUAAUAGUACAUAAAAGGUAUUUUUGUUUCUGUACAAUUUAACUAAUUCCUAUGAGAAAAGCUGAAAUUCCUUACAACCUCCCAAAACUUUUUCAGAUUCCCCAAAGGCUAAGAGCUCUACAUAUGGUUAACACAGUCCAAGGCUGGGCCAAAAUGCAAGUAUAAUGAACGAUAUAGGGAAACUGAUAACACUAAGUAAUAAAUAAUUAAUGCUUUCCCAAAUUGCAAUAAUGUUUUCUUCACACCGCUUGUAUGAGAAAGUGCACAAUUAAUAGAGACAAAUAAAUGUUAGGGAUUUAAUAUGUAUUGACUUUUUUUUAAAAAAAACACAUUUAUUUUAUUGUUUUCAGUUGUGCAUAUAUGUGUGUCUCUGUGUGGGGGGUUGUAUAUGUGUGUCUCUGUGUGGGGGGUUGUAUAUGUGUGUCUCUGUGUGGGGGGUUGUAUAUGUGUGUCUCUGUGUGGGGGGUUGGGCAGGUGCCAGAUGGGAAUUGAUGGGUUUGUGAGGCACCUCACACGGAUGCGGGGAACCAGGCUCACAUGCCCUGUCAGAAGAAUGUAUGCUCUUAACCACUGAGCCAUCAUCCCCCAUCCCCAUAGUAUCAUUUCUUGUUCAAACUGGGCCAUCCUCCCACACAUCCCCCUUAGGUAAGUGGUAUAACAUCUCAGCAAGCCAGCAGAGAAAUGGCACAUAGUCCUUUCUUCUAACAGGGGCCUGAGCCUCUGCUUUUUACUGGAAAUCAAAUCGGAAAGGUCGAUUUCAUGACAUUGUCCCCCAUUCCUGCUAAGGCAUCUGCAUAUUGACACUCUAAAAGAUGACCCGAAAAAGCACGCUGUUGGGUGGGUUAAAAUAAACGUCUAGUGCAGGGUGACAUAUAGAGAAACAUUGCGAUAGAGUAGCUAUUUGGGCUGGAAGAGAACUUUCCUAGUGCAGUCUUGCUGGAAUCACCUGCUUGCUUCUUCACAAAUACUGAGAACCUAUGUGAGCCAUGUUCAGCCAGACCCUUGGUCUUAGGCUCUAGAACUCACAGGUGCAAAUGCACAUCUUCCCAUUCCAAGUGGCCACAGUUGCCUGCCGCCAUAGUCAAUUGUUAGAGAAACUGGGCAGAAGCACAUAGCUUCCCACCAACUCCUAGAGCAGUUUUCCCUGCUAAGAUGAAUCCCCUCUGCCUCAGGUGACCAGAGCCAGGCAACUCUGACUUUGUCUUCUGAAAGCAUAUAUGUUGUUUCCAACCCCUGCUGUUGUGGUCCACGUGCAAAAGAUAGACCUGUCAGAUGGCACUGCUCACCACACACACACACACACACACACACACACAUAAGCACAUAGUCACACAGACACUCACAUAUACACCUUCUUCUGGCGAUGUUAGCAAGGGAAACUGGGAGCUAGGACUAUGGUCACCACUAAGCCAUUAUAUGGGUAAGAAAGCAUUACAACUCCCUCUUUUUAUUUAUUCAGACCUUGGUUCUGUGCCAGCGGACAUCCAGAGGAGCAAAGUACAUUUCUGUCUUCUUUCAUGACAUACUGCUUCUUUGUUUCAUAAAGUUAAGCACGGUUAGGCCAUGCUUAUGUAUGCUUAUGUAUGUAUGCUUGUUUAUGGAGCUUUUUGAAUGUUGGUAUGUAUUUACAUAUUUGUGGUGGAGUGCAUAUGUGUCCGUGGAGUGCAUGUGCAAGUGUGUGCAAGAAGUCAGAUGUCAGCCUUUAGUGUUGUUCCUCUGGUACCCUCCACCUUGGCUAACCCAAAGCUUGCUAAUUUGACUACAAUGGCUGACCAGGAAACCCAGAGACUCACCUCUCUCCACCACCUGAGGGCUGUGAUUACAAGCACAUACCAUAAUAACAGGAUUUUUUAAAAGAAGGUGGCUUCUGAGGGUUCAGCACAGGUCCCCAUGCUUAUGCUACAAGAACUGUAUUGGCUGGGCCAUUUCCCAGAUACUAUUUAGCAUUUGAUUGUGGUCAUUUCUUCAGGACGUUUUCCUACUUAAGUUGGAGGACUCAAGUGGCUCCCUACCUAUCUUGGUCUUGGAAAUCUCAUUUAAAAAGUGCCAACGCCUAUAUGACGGCCUCCACCCUGAAAGUCUCACAGCUGGAGGAAAGGCAACCACUGUCCAACAAGACACAGCGACAGGUUUAAAGAAGCACAGCUCCCAGGAGUCCCCUGACUGGGUGGAAGUGGCAUUCCCUCUCCUGCAAGUUAGGCAGCAUGGAUGAAAUGUUUAUAAGCAACAUAGUAGUCCCCAUAUGCGUGGGAGCAUUGAUAGGAGCUAGUCCAACUACUGCAGCCUUGUAUUCUUAACUUGCCUCUGCCAGCAAUGCAACAAAUGAACUAUCUCCUCCAUGCUCAAAAUAGACACGGUUUUCUGAGGCCCAAAGUUCACCAGCUGGUCCCAAUAAAGUGCCUUUAAAAUUCCUGCAAGAAGAUUAUGCUUUGUGAUUGUGCAAGAAUAUAUAUUGUCCCAAGCCUGUUCAGAUGACCAUAGCAAUGUAAGGUGGAGGGACUUGUGAUAGUGUUUGCAUGACUUGUGAUAGGGUUUUACAAGGAGAAAUAUUUCAGACGCUACAGGAAGUGACCAUAACAACAAGUCAUUUAAACAGCUCCAUGAAGGGAGAGUGGAGCUGGGGACACGCAUUCUUUCAGCGAGGCUGUAGCUAGGGAAAACGCCAAUAUAAAAACAACCUAUUUUUAGGGGCUCAAUAUCUCUUCUGUAAAUGCUUGUGAGUCAUAUUUUACAAGGGCAACACACUCAGCCACUGUUGUACCCCAGCUCCCAGCCACCUUAGGAGAAACAAAGAGGAUUCCGUCAGUGAGCGCUUCCUGGCAAAAUUGCUUGUGAGCUUUUGAUUGCAAAAUCAUUAUGUUUGGCACUGAGUUAAGUAGCAGGAAGAACCUGACUUGAUUUUUCAAAUCCCUCGGCUGAUACAAUGCUGCUCUUAAGCUUUUAAACUGCUCAGUUAGGCUCAAAAGUCUCAGGGAAGCUGUAAAAUGUCUAUUUUAGAUUCUUAGUUUUUAGUGUGCUUCCCAAGCCCCGGCAGGAUUUUAAUGGCAUAUCUGUAACAGGAGACCCCCACGCUCAUAUCUGGGCCGUGGUGUCUUCUCUGCUGAGGCCAAUAGAUAAUCCUCAGGGGUUAGAAUACAUAGUCUGGAGAACACAUGCCAGCUGGGAGUCUGUGAAACCCCCAGGCGAGCCUGUGUGAUGGGAUACUAUGCAGAUGGCAGAGAACUCUGACCCAUGUUCAGCUGAACCCUGGUGGCUUCCCAAAGAACUGCAGGGAGGGCCUUUAAAUGACACUAUGUGCUUCAAGUAUAGGACAUAGGAUCUUUGUUUUAGUUGACAUUGUUUUAUUAUUAUCUUUCUCUUAAACUGGUAAACACAAUAACGGGCCUUACAUAAGCUCUGCAUACAUUGCUUUUUAUUGCUUCUCGUCCCUUCUCCCUUCUUUGGGACCCUGCCCACCCCUGCCCCUGCCCCUGCCCCUGCCCCUGCCCCUGCCCCUGCCCCUGCCCCUGCCCCUACCCCUGCCCCUGCCCCUGCCCCUGCCCCCACCCCCUACCAAUUCUCCUUCCUUUUCCAAGUCUAUAAAUUCUGUUAUAUUUUUUCUUACCACCCCCUACCUCUAGCUAAAGACAUCUGGUUCCUUUUCUAGUUCUCUCUCUCUCUCAAAUGCAGGAGCCACAUAUGAAAAAAAAUAUGCAGUAUUCAUCAUUUUAGAUCUGAGAUAUUUCACUUAAUAUAGUAGUGCCCACUUCUACUCAUUUUGCUGCAAAUAUUAUAAUGUCAUUUUUUCUUUCACAGCUAAACAAAAUUCCAUUGUGUGUAGGUAUCAUAAGACUUUUUCUCCAUUCAUCUGUUGUUAGACAUUCCUUUACUGUAAUGCAAUAGUGAGCAAGGCAUGCUGGCUUAUCUGUCGUAAAACAUAUAGGCCUCUGGGUGAUACCCAGGAGCAGUACAGCUGGGCCACUUCGUGGUUAUGUGUUUAGUGUUUUGAGACUUCUAUUCUGAUUUCCACAGUGAUUUAACUAUUUUGCAGCCCCACUAGUCGUAAGUCAGGGUUCUGCUUUCUGGACAUCCUCACCAGAUGUGGUCUUUUGCGGUGCCGUAGAAAGAACAUUAGCAUCAUCACAGUUAAAUUUAAAUAAAUAAACUUAAAUUUGGGAUAUGUCCAUUAUACGCUCUGAGCCUUAAUUUCCAUAUCUGUGAACUAUCCAGAGAUAAUAAGAUCAACCCAACAUCAUCACCAAGAGAAGGAUGAGCAUGGGAAACCUCUGCCUUCUACUGAUGAGGUCAGCUUGAGCCCACAAUCCUGCCAGGGCCUCACCAGUGGUGGGAACACAGACUAGAAUCACAGCUCCAGACUCUUGCCUCGGUCUUGAAGUGCCAAAAAGUGACUUUCAUCUAUAUCCAGUAGUUAUUCAAGUACAACACAUACUCACCAUAGCACUCAGGAGACAGCCCAAUGUGCUGUUAUAUCAAAAUAAUUAAAAGAACAUAUUUAUUUUGAGGAAUGGAAAUAUUCAUUGACUGCAUGAUGCAUCUCCCUUUCCUAUGUAUAAAUCAUACUGUCUGCUAGUGUUACUGUGAAAAAUGCUGUCAGGGAAAGAGGAAAUAUGCAUUUCUUCUCUUAAUACAAUGUCAGGGCUAUAUCAGCCACCUCGCUUCUGCAGGCUUCUUACUGCCUGCCUCAGGAUGCAGCCUACAUUGAGGAGUCACAGAAUGGACUGAGUCUUAGAUGAUGAACUCAGUCAACCAUCCCUGAGUCAACUACAGCUGAGCUCUGACUCUGGUCAUGAGAUGGUCAUUUCCUCAUUGUUUGACAUUGGGCAUUCUGAAGCCGACCUCUAAAAGCAUGCAGAUAGCAUCCAAUGACACUUGUGUAGGUGCACAUGUUAGUUGCUGUUGUACAGCUGUGACAAAACACUUGUAGGAGAGACAAUGGAUUUUGCCUCAAGGGGUCAGAGCAUUCAGUCCAUGGUCCCUGGCUCCAUGUUUUGAGGCCUCAACCUAACUGUGCUGUGAGUUUUCACUAUGCCACAUUGGACAUCAUAAUAGUCUAGACCCUACCUACUUCAUGGAGUUAGGUACUAAGUACGUUAAUUCGUGCAAGUCACUUAGUGUCUUUCCCUAAGGGAAGAGUGUCAUCAGUGUCAGCUACUGCUUAAUCCAGGAGGGAGGUCAUCACACUGGAUAAAGGCAUAGAUUCUGCAGCCUAUGCAGGCUAGGAAUCCUCUCUACAUGUACUACUGAGUAAUCUCUAGUUGCUGCAUAACCUACCAUGUCUCUGACUCCUCAACUACAAAACAGAGGUAAUAAUAGUGGCAUCUGGUUCCCAGAGCUAGAAUUAUUAAAUUGAUCAACACAGAAGAGUGUCUGGUAUGGAAUACAUUAAAAAAAAAAAAAGAUGGUCACUAUCUUGUGUUAUCCAAAAAAUACCAUCAUUUGAUUCUAGACAAGAGCCAGAUUGAGCUAAAGUGGUACUCCUUAAGCCUGCAUAUCCUGCGACCCUUUAAUCCAGUUCCUCAUGCUGUGGUGACCCCCAACCAUAAAGUUAUUUUUGUUGCUACUUUAUGACUGUGAUUUUGUUACUGUUAUGAAUCAUAAUGUAAACACCUGUGUUUUGCGAUGGUCUUCGGCAACCCCUGUGAAAGGGUUGUUCGACUCACAGGUUGAGAACCUCUGAACUAGAGGCUAUGUUGAGGCUAUGUUGAGGAUGGAGAGCAAUGAGGAGAAGUUCUUGGGAACUUCCAUUCAUAAACCACUCAGCUGAAUAUGCAGAACAGUCAUGUCUUAGCCUGUUCCAGCUGCCAUGAAAACCCACCACAGACUAGAGCUCUAGACACUGCAGAGUCUCAACUCAAGGUUCUUCAUCACGCGACUCCACUUAGGCGUCUCACCUUAGCUUAAUGAGGCUCAAUGGCUUGUUUUGUGCUUCCAUGGCCCUGCUUCGUGAGAGAGGAGAGAGAGAAAAGAGUGCCCAAGAGUUUCCCUCCUACAGAGCAUGUCUGAGUUAGGGCUUCUGUUUCUGUGAUGAAACACCAUGAGCAAAACCAACUUGGGUGUCACUCAUAUUUCCACAUCACAGUCUAUCAUUAGAGGAAGUCACUGUAGGGACUUAAGCAGGGUAGGAACCUGUAUCAAGAAGCUGAGGCAGAGACCAUGGAGAGGUACUGCUUACAGGCUUGCUCCUCAUGGCUUGCUCAGCCAACUUUCCUAUAGCACCUAGGACCACUAGUCCAGGGAUGGCACUACCUACAAUGAGCUGAACCCUCCCUUUCAGUCACUAUUUAAGAAAAUGCACCACAGGCUUGGUCACAGAGAAACCUGGUUAAGGCAUUUUCUUAAUUGAUGUUUCCACUCCCCAAAUGUCUCGAGCUUUUACCAAAUUGCCUUCAAACUAGCCCACUAAGGACACUCAUCCCAGUAGAUCAGAGCCCACUCUUCAGAUCUUGUUUAAGUCUCGCUAUUUUCUUAGAAGUCCUGUCUCCAAAUGCAACCACCCUGGGGAGUAGACAUUCAAAAUCUGAAUUUUCAGAGGACAAUUUAUUUAUGUGAGAUUCCAGGCAAGGGCAGAGGGGAGUAAAUGGAAGUUUUGAUCAUGUGUAAAUAUUUAUAAUAUCCCUGACCAAAGCUAGUCUUUAAUUCUGGGUGAGAUUGAUGAUUGAUUGGUUGAUUGGCUAAAAUCACAUCUAUUAGUUCAGGCCAGCAGACUGGAUUUGAUUCCAAACAAAUGGACAUUUCACACAAGAGACAAGGCUAUAAAUACACAGUCCGUGGGAAGGGAUCUUUUGUCUUCAAUUGUCACAUUAGCCAUUGAUUUCAACAUUUCUAUCACACUUUAUUUAUCGUGCAUAAACUUAGUUGUAUGUGUAUGCGCGUGCCUGUGUGGAGGUCAGGGGAAAACUUUAAGGAGAUGGUUCUCACCUAUCCAUAGGUCUUGGAAUGACACUCAGGCAAGUUCCUUUACCCAAUGAGUUACUUUACAGGCGUCUCCUCGUUGACUUUUGUCUUCUUAGAUUCCUGUCUCUUUUGUCUUAAAAAAUUCCUGAGUUAUUGCAAGAAUGCAAACUUCCCACAGAGCACAUCACUUAUUAUUAUUAUUUUGCAUUUGUCAACAUGCCAUAUUCUCACAAAUCAGCUCCCAGGUAAAGAAGCUGAGACACAUCUCUGUUGAGAUAUGUUGAGGAAAGAGUACACAUAACCUGUCUGAGGCUCUCCUUUAAUUGAGAAUGGCCUGUGUGUUGCUUGGCAUUUGAAAAGUCAGAUAGGUAUCUAUUCUCUACUUUGCCACAACCAAGAGGCAAAUAACUGCAAGUCUAGAAAUUUAUCAUGAUGAUAUGCAUACCAAAAUUUCUUCUGAUCCAGAAGCAGAUAAUUUGAUUGCAAAGCUCUCUGAGGCCCCCUCUCCUGAGCCUGACUGAAGACAGCUUGCAGUUUUUUAUCAUUUGCUGAUUCUUAGCUAUGAUAAGCCAAAGGAGAUAUAGAGCAUGCCAAUCUCCUGACUAAGAUGUCAAGGUUUAGUGACAAAGCAUAGUCUGCCAGAUUUAAUAAUGCCAAAUAGAAUCAUAAAAAUUCACUUGCUACUCCGGAGAUGCCUGUGACAAUUGUAUUCAAACUAUAUCAGCAAUAUCUUUAAAAAAAUGUAUUCUUUUAUUUAGUGGUGUGUGUGUGUGUGUGUGUGUGUGUGUGUGUGUGUGUGUGUGUGUGUGUGUGAACAACAGAAGAGUUAAGAGUAGAGGAUAGAGAAGUGAUUUUACAACAAAAUUUCCAAAACAGGUUCUAGUGGGGCCAAGCAGGGAAGGAGUGAGGAAGAAGACUAACACAGCCAGUGCCUUCUCUGUACAACCCCAGCUCGGAGCUUCCUCUCUCUCCAACCCUGGGGACUGGCCCUGGAUGGCCUGCUCUACAUUUUUACUGUAGUCAUGCACACUGGAUAGCCUGAGCUGCACUUUACUGCUGAGACUAGAGAUUCUCUGAAAGAUGAGCCCUUUGAGAUGAUGCUUUUACAACAAGGGUGGGGGCCUAGCUGCGUCUAUGUGGCUCUAAAGUCCAUGGCUAAUGUUCUCUAGGACUGUUACGUGCAGGUGGGAAAACCAUACCCAACAUCAAGAGAAGGCUUAUCACAAAAGAUGGUGGUGGGGAAGACCAGGCUGGCGAAAGGGAAGGAUUUUCAUCUGGAUCAGGCAUGUGGAAUGCCUCCAGUAUCUGUUGCAACCUUUGUCAUCUGUGUGCAGGUCACAUGGGUGUCUGCUCUAUAAAAACAUCUUUAGACUCUAGGUAUGUUUUAGGACAUCUUCUGCACCUCACAUUUAUAUCACAUACCAUACAUUAUAGUGAAGUUUUUUGUUAAAUUGUUUAUGGAUUAAGGAUUGAACCCAGAGUCUUGCAUACACUAAGCACGCACCCUUCUACCACUGUGUCCCUGCCUUGGCUCUUCUUGUCCUUGUAAUGUUUCGUCAGCAAAACACACUCGGACAACCAGAUCCUUCUACGGCAAAGCUUUAUUGCUUACUUAUCAGGAAGACCUCGAAUACAGGAAACUCAGUCCUUUUAUAACCCACAAAGAGCGGUUGGAGACAUGUCAGCUCCUGAUUAGCUGCUCACCAUUAGCCCAGAUAACGCCACGGGACAGGCAGGGCACAAGGCAUGGAAAAAUAACCCAGCACAUGCGCAGACUACUGGUUUACUAGUUAGAACACCGGAUAUCAGCGCCAUCUUGUAAUGGCGAUUGCAAGGGCGGCUCCUCACAGGCUCUUGUACUUUUCACAGUUGCUCAGACUUGCCCUGGACCUUCUCUAGCUCAGGCUAGUCUUGAACUUGCAAACCUCCUACUUCAGCCAACCCAUUAGCUAAGACUAUUGGCCUGUACCACCAGUCAUGACUUACGUAUCUUAUAGUAAGAAAUUUAAAGCACAAAGAGAUUCCCUACGCCUUGCACUCCAUCCGCUGAUUUGCGUGCUCAUGAGGUCAGUGCUAAGUAUCUUCCUUGCUCACUCUCCACCUGACUUUUUGAGACAGGUUCUCUCACUGACCCAGGAGCUCGACAAUUCAGCUAUGCUGUUUAGCUAACAAGUUCCAGGGCUAGACCAGCAGUGGUAUAUCUUCUCCAGCACAAAAGCACAGACCUGUACCACUGUGCUUAGUGUUUUAAGUGGACACUGGGGAAUUGAACUCUGGUCCUGAGGCUCACAUAGCAGACAGUUCAUGUCUAGUCCAGCUCUCUGAUCAGUACCUUUUAAUUGUUUAAUAGGCAGAGAGCAGAGUCUGUCAAGAAAUUUUUUUUCACUCGAAGACAUGGAGAAGCAGGAAUGAGUUUAGCAAAAUCUUUAAAAUGCCUGCUUGCAUGUGAAUGAACCAUAGCACAAGACCAGGAGGUUCCACUGGCUUCCAUGGGCUGUGAGUUUGGGGAGAGUACUAUUUGUUCUUUAGAAUUUGAUAUUUAAGACUGAAAAAAAUUGAAAUAUCAUAAAAUACAAGCAGAUGAGUUACUUAGUUUCUCAUUGCUGCAACAAAUACCUAAGGAAAGUAACCUUUUAUAAAGGAAGGCUGGGCUUGGAGACAUGGUUUAGCGGUAAGAGUGCUUACCAUACGAGCAUUGGGGCCUGAAUUUGGAUCUCAGCAGCCAUGUAAAAUACCAGGCAUGGUUAUACACACCUGUGACCAUGACAAUGUGGGGGAUUCCUGGGGCUUGCUGGCCACCAGCAUAGUUCCAGGAUCAGUGAGAGCCCCUGUUUCAAAGGAACAUGACAGAAAGUGACAGAGUAGGGCACCUGAAGUCCUCCUCUGCCGCCACAUGGGAGCUUGCAGAGGGCUGAACGGCCUGCCCCCUUUCAGUGUAGACAAUGUCAGAUCCAUGCAGGGCACAGGAUCUGUAGCAGACUCCAGUAUAGAUCUCUGCUUAAAAACAAAGUUUAGCUUUUCUUUGCACUAAGGAGGAAUAAGUAAGCACUUGCUAAGUGCUUCCACUUGGUUAGAGAAACGAGAGUGUCUGUGUCAGUCAUAGAAAAGAAUUAUAGGAAGAGAAAUCAGUGCAUAUCUUCAUGGGCCAAGAGUUGAGGUGGAGCAGUGGGCACGCUCAGUAGGAGAGACGAUGCCCCUAGGGUCAUCAGUAACAGAGUAGACAGCAAAGCCAGAGAAAUGAAUCAGCACAGCUGGACCCAGGGACCAGAGUGUCAGACAGAGCUCUUUGAUGCUGUAACAUUCAAAGCAAGUGUCUCCUUGCUUACAAGGUCCAGUAGGUCUCCUAGGCCAUAGGAGUGAUAAUAUAACAAAAGCAAGCCCUCCAGAAAAGUGAGGGGGGCGGGAUUUGCUUAAAUUUGAAGAAGAUAGUGAGGCAAAGGAUUAUGGGGAAGUCUCUAAGGAAAUAGAGACAUGAAAACAAAGCAUUCUGACUUCUGGCCAGGGAAAAUUUGCAGGACUGGGCUCUGCUGAUAACAAAGCCGUAUGACUGACGUGGCUAUGAGUCUACACGGCACUUUCAGCACAUCCCUGCCCCGUGAGCUCAUGUCUGAAAGGAUCUGACUGAGGCGGAAGUAAUUGCUCACUGGGAUGUGACCUCCCUUUGGCACAGCUAAUCAGCCAUGCUCUGCCAUUAUGGAUCAGUGGCUCUAGCUCUCUGUUAAUACGGUGCUGUGCAAAUACACACCCCUCUCUGACCUCCUUCCCUUGUAGCUGGUGCUAGCCUGUGAGAAAACAUCAAGAAGAAGCCACAGGGCAGCACUUAGUCCGGCUUUGCAGCCUCUACAGGAACCCUUCUAAAAUGUACCCACAACGUUUGGGGAUUCUUUGGGGGAUACUGUUUUGACUGGCUACAAGUCAAUGGUUCUCACCCCACGUCUGUUUCAGUGAGUGGCUAGAAUGGAUCAGACUCAGAAAAACACUAUGUUUAACAGUUUGUGGGGAAAAAAAAAAGUUCCGAUUGAGGAAGGGCACAAGGCAUACAGAGAAGAAAGACAGGACAAUCAGUGGCUUCUCUGGAUGACCCGCUCCACCCCAUCCUACCCUGCCUCACCCCACAACUAGGGUUCUUCAACACAAAAAUUCAGAGAGCUCUAUUCUAUAGAGGUUUUGCCAAGGUUAAAUUAAAUAUCAUGUGUGAUUAAACCAUUGGCCACAGAAAUGGACCUGAUCCUUGUCCUCCCCUGCCUCUCUGUUGAUAUGGCGUCUUAGUGACUGGUCCCCAUCUGAUGAUGAUACCGGAGUCCUCCCUUUGUCUCUUAGGACAAUCUCAUCAGCAUAAGACUGAGUAAAUUCCCAAGGUCUCUAGAAGCUCUAUCCCAGGCAUCUGGAACAAGAGCCAGGUAAAAGCACGUGGCGCAUGGGUGCAUGAGUGUGCCAACAAUGCCAUACUGGCCAUGGAAGUCUCAUCAGAUUCCAGUGGAGCUGCGAGACUCCUGCUCACUACAGUGUGUGUUUCGAGUAUGGUAUGGUGAUGCACAGCUGUAAUCCCAGCAUUCAGGAGGCUGGGACAGAAGUGAGUAUCGACAAAAGUGAGCAUCUCAUGAUCCAUUUUUAGCAUGAAUCAUGCACUGACGAAUAAAACUCUUUUAUACCUUAGAUACGGUUUGGGUUUUGAGACAGGACUCAGUAUAGUGCAGGCUGACCUCAAACUUGCUAGGUAUCCAAGGAUGACCUUCAACUCCUAAUCCUCUGCUUCCAUCUUCAGGGUGGUGAGCAUACAGAUGUGCACGACAACAUAUGAUUUAUCCAGUGCUUGAGUCAAAGAACUUGAUUUCCAUAAGCUGGGCAAGCACUACACCAACUGAAUGGCAUCCCAGCCCUUGAUAUGUUUAGAUACACUAGUACCACCAUGUAAUACUUGCCUUUGGUAUUCAGUAUAGCAAUGUGCUAAACAGACCUGUAACCAAGAGUCAUAGGCUUAUACCAUCACAAAACCUCAGUAUGUAGCAGGCUUGAUGCUUAGAUUUGUCAAAGUAGAUGCUGUCAUGGUCACAAGGUUAUCUCCUAACCAUGCAUUUUUUUAAAACCAAAAACUCCCCACAGUUGUAGUUAAAUCUUUCUACAGUGAUGGCCCAACUGCAGGGGAGGGGGGAAAGAGAUAGAUAAUAUCCAAUAGUCCCAAAGGAAAUUAGGAAGGAAAGAAUUCCUCCAAAAUUCCCUAUAUUGUGAGGUGUUGAAGGACAGUUUGGAUCAUCCCUCCCACAGUCACAUCCCUGACUGUGAAAAACACUAAUAACCCUUCUGGGGGACUUCCAGUUUUAGGGGGGCGCCCACCUUUGGUCCCUAAGUUUCUUGAACACCAGCCAGCUCAUUGCUUCAGCUUCCUGCUUGCUUCCUGUUGGGAAGACACUGUGUGAGACACUACACCUCAUGGCCCCUCAGUUACCUCUGCUGGCUCCUCACCCCCAAAUCUUCAUGGCCCAUGUUUCAUGUCAGCCAUUCUGUUUACCACCUCUCAAGGUUUUUAAUUUGAAUAAGGAGCUCCAGAGAGACUGCCACCUCCUCUGUUAUCUUACAGACAACAAAACGAAGCUCACAGCUCUUAAAUGCUGAGUCACUAGAGGCUCAGCUAGGUAACAAAUGCCUUAAACACUGUACAUCAAAUAAUCCAAUGAGACUGGUUUCAUCGUCCACAUUGAGUAGGGAAGGAAGCUGAGGCCUCACUCAUCUGCCCCAGGGGUAGCGUAGCUGGCUGGGCUCAGUUGGAGAAGUGCUUAUUGCUCAAGCAUUACUCACACUAAAACAAAAAACAAAAAAAAAAAAAAAACAACAACAACAACAAAAAAAAAAAACAGCCUGGUGUGUCAAUGCGUGCUUGUAAUCUCAGCACAGGCAGACAAGAGACAUGGGCCACCCUGAGGCUUGCUGGCUGGCCAGUCUGGUCUAGUCAAGUGAGUUCCAGGCUCAAUGACUCUAUCUAAAAAUGGAAGGUAAAUCAUAAUUGAAGAAGAGAACUACUAUCACUCUCUGGCCUUCACAAGCACAUGUGCACACUCUCUGCCCACCAGGCACACACUCUGCCCCAGGCUUCACACGUCAAGGCAACAAUGCGGAAGCCAAAGCCAGAGCCUCUCUCUCCCUUGAUACUUGCUGGCAUUGAAACCCAAGAGGGUCCAUCUUCCCAUACUUCCAGGAUGUAGAAAUUCCUGUAAAAGACUUCUAAAAUAGAAGUUACCUUUCAACCCUAAAGCUGCAUCUUGUGUUAUUGCCAGUUCUUUCUGGGUCAUUCUGGACCACACAAGAUUUUCUUUGGGUUUUUAACACAGCAAGGGAAGAAACUUUCAGGAAUAAAUUAUUGCCCCUUCCCCAUUAACUGAUAGUCAGCUGGGAGCAUUAGAGGGUGAGUGGAUAAAGGAUAGUCCAUAUCAACCCACCAUGAACCUCUGGCUGCUCAAAUGACUGAUGAUUGAAAAUUGACUAUGUUCUAGUCUGAAUGGUUGAAUUAAUAUGGGAGAAUGUUUUUCUUCCUUCUUUUCUACUUUCUUCCCCUUUCUUUUCUCUAGGUCUGUUGUUUGUUUGUUUGUUUUUGUUGGUUAUUUUUUCAUGGUUAAUGAUGAUGUCCUUUCAGGAAGCCUGAAUCUUGUUCAUAAGCUAAAUCCAUGAUUCUUCUACCUAGAGUAGUGGUUCUCAACCCCCUCUAGGUGUUGAAUGACUCUUCCCAGGGGUGCAGAUCAGAUAUGCUGUAUAUCAGAUAUUUACAUUUUAAUUCAUAUCAGCAGCAAAAUUACAGACAUGAAGUAGCAGCAAAAAUAAUUUUAUGGUUGGGGGAGGGGGAUCAUGACAACAUGAGGAACUAUAUUAAAGGGUUGAAGCAUUAGGAAGGUUGAGAACCACUGCCCUAGCGCCAUGCAUAUAGUUGUUGACAUACACUAGGUGAAAGGUCACAGCAUUUUGCCAGUCCCAUAAAGACCCAAAUCCUUGUAAAUAUGAUUAACACCUGCUCACAAAGAGCUUCUAAAGCAAUCGAGUCAUGGUGUUGAGGUCCAAGCAGUGGAUAGUAUGAAUACACCUUGAAGACUUUGUAUUUCCCUAGUCAUUUGCAAAAGCAAUAUCAGCUUGGUUACCUCUGGCCCAGGCUCCAGCAGGUAUAAGCCGACAAUCCAAGACAACCUGCCACUUUGUCCUGGGCAGAUGGAGUGCUACGUUCAAGGUCAUUUCUAGUGCAGUUUGCAGUGUUCAGAGCUGGAACCUUCCACUCCCCACAGAUACAAUGAGCCAACAGUCCAGCCAUCUCCAAAAGGCUGACCCUGUAGAGCAUCUAAUGAUAAAAUCCAAACACCCAUACACAAAUAAUUUUGACUUCUAUUUCUUUAAAAUGUUGUCAAGUUGGGCCUUUGGGUUCAGCUGAUAUGGAAAUAUAAAUGUCACAGAACAGUUUUGCGUUAUGCCCUGUGCCUUCAUGUUUUAUAAAACAUUCCUACUACUUAAGAGGAAAUACUGGUUCCUGGUAUUUUUUCACAAUUUGAGUCAUACACAUCAGGUGUCACAAUUCUAAUCAUUAUUCACUUUAGAGUAGUAGCAAUUGUAUUGUUUGGUGUAGUUUAAGAAAAUAGUUUAAAUAUUUUAAUAUGUUCAUAGACUGGGGCAUAGUUCCACAGUACAGCACCCAGCAACUCAAAGCCUUGGGCUCAAUCUCCAGCAUUCCAAAGCAAACUGAAAACAAGCAACAAAACAAACUUAUAGUAACAAAUUAUUUAGCAAUAUGAAAGUUAGCAAGAGUUUUUUAAUAUGAGACUGGAGAGAAGGCUCAGCAGUUAAGAGAUCUUGCUGCUCUUCAGAGGACCCAGGUUCAGUUCUCAGCACCCACCCCAGGCAGCAGUUCACAGCUGCCUGGAACUCCAGCUUCAGGGACCCAUUGCCCUCUGAUGUCCUCCAUGGGCAUGCACCUCCACAUACGUGCACACACUGGUGGUCACACACACAUAUACUUAUAAAUUAAAACAUCAUCUCAUCAAAAGAAUCUGUGAAGACAGUGGAAUAAACCCAAGGUGGUUAAUGAAAUGCCCACAGAAGGGAUAAUCAGGAUAUCAGUAAGCUUUCUCAUUACUGUGACAUAAAUACCUACACCUAAGGAGAAAGGGCCAAUUAGGAUCACGGUUUCAAAGGGAUUUCAUUCCAUCAUGGCUAUAAAUGAAAGGUAGAAAAAGGAGCUCCUUCGUAGCACUAGGACUGUGAGGCAGCAACUGUUCAUGCAGAAUGACCAACAGGAUGAGAAUAGAGCCCUUGUAAGAUGUGACAUCACAUCUUAGAAUUUCCUUGGAAAUAAUGUGGGGCACAACACUAACAUUAUUCCAUUGAAAACUGUUCUUCCAUUCAUUCAGUCCUCAGCAAGUUCAAUGGCAGGUGGUCAUAAUUUAGAUAAAGAAAAUUUUUUUCUGUCUCUACCUAGACAGACAAGAGAGUUGGGUGCCACAUGUAAAAGCGUGCUUUCUUAUGUUCCCAUGUCCUGUUGUACAUUCACAUCUGGAAGACUUCAACAGUUUUCAAGAGUGACGAACAUCCACGUGUACUUUCAAAUAGUUGGAGACUGAGUUCCCUGACCUUCUUGGAUGGCUAUCAUCUGCCUAUGUUUUUUUUUUUUUUUUUUUAAAGAUUCAUUUAUUUAUUAUAUGUAAGUACACUGUAGCUGUCUUCAGACACUCCAGAAGAGGGAGCCAGAUCUCAUUACGGAUGGUUGUGAGCCACCAUGUGGUUGCUGGGAUUUGAACUCUGGACCUUCGGAAGAGCAGUCGGGUGCUCUUACUCACUGAGCCAUCUCACCAGCCCUCAUCUGCCUAUGUUUAAGUCAUGGUGAGACGGCAUAGGAUGCAUGAUGCAAUAUGGACAUCACGUGGACGGUUGCUAUUCCGAUGCAUCUUUGGAGUGAGACAAGAUGGGGAAAGUUGGCAUGUCUGUGGUACAGAUACAACCAUUGUAGACCAACUAGCUUCUUGGUCUCUGACUGGGUAAAUUCAAGAAUGUAUAAUUGGCAGAUAUAGAGGCCAGCUAUACAGAGAUUUCACUAUGAGAUUUUAGGGACUGACUUCUUCAUUAAACAAGAGAUCAUUCUGGGUUUUGUGUGGUUUUCAAACAAAUUCAUUAUUAUAACAUAAAAUUUGCAUUUUGGAAAGAGCACAAAACCCACACGAAAAAAAAAAAUCUCUACCAAGUGAACAAUGAAAGUGGCUGCCAAUGCCAAAAUAAUUCAGGACACCCACACAGCAUCCCCUGACCCUCUGUCCCUCCCACUGUAAACAUAGGUCUAUUCUUGUUUCUGAUUGAGUAGUGCUUGCUGGUCUUGAACUUCACAUAAGCAUGAUCAUAUAUCACACGCCCUUUUUGUCUGGUCUCUGUUAUUCAAAAGUACAUUUCUAAGAUGGCCUGAUUCUGCGCUCCACAGAGACUCACUCACUUCCCUUGCUGGAGUUCAUCCCUCAGAUGAUCCUCUAGUAAAAUAUAUACACAUAGCUAUCUACUCUCUGAUGAAUGUUUGCACGGUUCGUGGAAAAUAUUGCUGUGAGAUACCUGUUUGCUACCCACAUGGACUUGUUUUGUUUGGAUGUGAGCUCAAAAUAAAAUCUCUCUCUCUCUCUCUCUCUUUCUCUCUCCCUCUCUCUCUCUCUCUCCCUCCCUCCCUGUCUCUGUCUCUCUUUCAAGCUCUGCAUGUGUAUGUGUGUGGCAUGCAUGAAUGUGUCUAUGUGUAUUUCAUGUGCAGAGUCACUUGUGUAUACGAACGAAUCUUUGUGUUAGCAAAUACAUGUGAAGGCCUGGCAUUGGCUUCAGGCAUCUCCAUCCAUCACUUCCACUUUUUAAAGCAGAGUCUUUGGAUGAAUCCAGACCUAGCCAAUGCUGGCUAGUCUAGCUAGUCAGCUUACCUCUGCCUCCUGCUUGCUGGGGUUACAGGUAGCAACUAUGCCUGCCUGGCUUUUCACACGGGCUCCUGGGAUCCAAACUGAUCAGAAUGCUUGCACAGCGAAUCCACUUUAUUCACUGAGCUGUCCAUCCCCAUCUCCAGACCAAGUUAACUCUUGUUUAACAGUGCAGCUCAGGUAGAAAGAGUGGACUGGGUUUCCAUUUUGCUGCAAAUACACAAGUUUAUUUAUAACAGAAGAAAGACAGUCAACCGAGAUUUUCAAGGCGGAAAGCUGAUGUGUAAAAUGAAACUGGGAAAUAUCGGAGUGGGCACAGAAGCCAGGAUUUUGGAGAAUGUCCUGAAAAAGGUUUUGUGAAAGAAGUGAGAAGGAAGCUGACUGAGCGGCCUCGAAAGCAGCUGGGAGAAGAGUGAAGGACAGAUGGAGCUCUGUUCUAUUGGAGAAAGCAGAACUGCUCUGAUUGCCCGGUUUCAGCACACACACACACACACACAAACACACACACACACACACACACACACACACACACACACGCAUGCACAUAAAACUGAAAAGCCAAAACAAAGCAGAAGAAAAGCCCAUGUGACUCCUCCACUCUGGGACGUUUUCACUGUGCACCAUGUCACCUUUCCAGAGCUUCUACAUGACAGGGCCAGCCAUCCGGCCUUCCCGAGAGGGACCCAGACAGGACCAGUCAUCUUACCUUCCCGAGAAGGACCCACAGAGUUCUUUUUAUUAAGAAGUGGAACCUUCUCCAGCUACAAAGGCUGCCCCUGCUACUAUACAGGCCAAAGAAAUGUCUUCUGUCUGCUGGCGGGUAAUAGACACCUUCCUUCUCUUGUGUGCUGUAUAUUUCUCUGUCACCUACUUUCCCAGCAACACCUCAUUAGUAGGAACACCUGAUCACUAAAGGCAGAAAGCCCCACACCCCACUGUGGGGUGAGUUCAGGCUCUGUAUGACCUGACUGACUGGGGAGAAUACAUUUGCAGCGUGGGGAAGAGCUACCUGAGCUAGUCUGGGUGUCUGCGGAGUGCCAUUGAAUUACCAAGGAGUGACUAUGAGUGAACAUGCCCACCUGGGCAUCCCAGCCUUUAUUCUGGUCACCAGCUUCACGUGUGGUCAUUUGCCAACCAACCAAAUGAGACCAAAUGUCCCCCAGGGCCUGUUCCCUGUCUCUCAGGCCUGUUGACCCUCCCGGCUUUAAGCAUGGCAUCACUCUGUGUUCCCCCACAGUCACUUGAGCUAAGUCCCUUUUGUCCGGUCCUCCGAAGCUCUUCGUUGCACAAUGGGCAUGCUAUUAAGAUCAUCGAGGACAUGAAUACUGAACAUUUUCUAGCGCUCCUCCCCCAUGGCCCUGCCACACACUCUUCCCAAGCAGCUCCGCCACUCCACAAGGACACUCUGUUUCGUUCCAUGGAAGAAUGGUCUUCCUUGGUGGCAGGGAGCAAGUGAUGGCUCACAAAACUACUGUUGUAUCACGUGAUCCCAGUGUAAUGGAUGAAUCACAGAUUUCAAAACUUCUUCUCAAAUUCCUUAGAUUUGACGGAGUGAGCAAGUAUAAGAAAGUUCUGGACCUGAGCAGGUGCCAGGCCUUUGUAGCUAGAGAAGUCUCUACUUCUUAAUUCACAGAGCUGUCCAUACCUGAGCUCAUCCCUCUGGGGUCAAAAUGAAAUGGUGACUACCAUAGAGGGCUAUGGUGAGAGUUAACUAAAUUCAUAUUUGGGGGCUGGGCAGGUGACUAAGUCUCUAAAGUAUUUACCUUGCAAGUAUGAACAUCUGAAGUCAACCUCCCCCCCACCCCCCUAGAACUCACAUAAGAAAAGUCAGGCAUGAGCUGGGGCUGUGGUUCAGUGGUUAGAACACUUACCUCUCAUGCGUGAAGUCCUAGGUUCAAUUCCCAGUAUCACCAGGAAAAAAAAAAUCCAGGUGUGAUACUUGGAAUAGUUCUGGAAAGAUGGAGACAGGGGGGAGAGCCAGCCUAACCUGUUUGGCAGGCUCAGGACAGUGAAAGACUGUCUCAAAAAAGGGUGUCUGUGAACUGACAACUAACCUUGUUCUCUAGGUCUUUGUACAUGUUAGAUAAGUGCUCUACCAACUGCUCCCAUAUUCCAGUGCACAUAUAUGUAUGUGCACACACAUAUACACAUAUACACACAUACACAAGUACAUAUCACAAUAUAUAAUAUACAGUGUAUAAUAGGGCUUGUAAUUAGAUUAGAUAGGUAGGUAGAUAGAUAGAUAUUCAUACAUAGAUGAUUGUAGAUAGGUAUUAGAGAGAUAAACAGAUAAACUAGAUAGACACCUAGAUGCUAGCUGAAGCUAGAUACAGAUUAUGGAUAGAACAAUUAAUAAGAUCUUACUCGGGCAUUAGAAAUACAAAUUCAUAGACAUGAAAGUUCUAUAUCCCCUCCAGCAUAUUCAGCACUACAUAUAACACCUUCCUCACGUGAGUAGAAAGAACAUUAUGAAGUGACACUAUGAGUGAGCAAUCUAAAUACAGUCUAAAGACAAGAGUCUUCCAGCAAUUUAUGACCCUAAGCGUUUCCAGCUGCAGGAUUAAUAGCCUGGUGUCUGCAGAACAUGGCAAAAAAUCACUACAACCUCAAUACAAAUUCAAUAGAAAACAGCAAGCUGUGUGAAUAUUUAAUAUGUUUAAUUAUGUUAUAUUAAUUAAAUCAAUUAUUUAGUGUCUUGGCUGCUAUUCUAUAAUGAUUUUUUGCAUGUUCAGGAAAUUAAUGGUGUCCACACUGUCCCUUGUUUGCUCCAGUAAAGUCCUGCCGGUUGACACUAUUGUCUGCCCAAACACUGCUUGUGACCUUGAGGAUAAAAGGAAGCUGACACGAUUUGCAACCGAAAUAAAAUAGGCUCUGGUCAUAAAUGUAAUGAGACACCAGGGUCAUCCUGACUGAUAAAAGUCACUGGUGAUGAGUCUCCAUUCAACCUAAUCCUAGAGAAGCCCGCAGACCCUUGGAGUCCUGGGGUCUCUCGUAUAUCUUAGUACACUGUGCAAAGUCUGAGGACCUUUGUUGGCUACAUCGCCGAUCACUUAUCAGAUCAGUUUCUCAUUUGGCGAGUUAAGCUUGGAUAGCUGACAACAGUUAUCAAUUUCAUAUGGUCCACAUCUAAUCAGGUGUCAUGGUCCCCAGUCAUUCAGGAUGCAAACCUUUCUUUCAUGAGCUGGUUAUGUCCUCUCAGAUCAGAAGGGAAUUUUUCCUAAGAGGAAUAUUUGAAUGACUCGCCCUUUGUAAUUGCUUGGUGUGGUUUUAAUUUUUUUCAUUCAUCCUUCUAGGUGUGCUUUGGGCAGAUAACACAGAAAUGCAUAAAGAAACCGUUAACAUGGAUUUUAUUAAGUUGCUUUUAAACAUGCACUUUACUGUGUAGAUGGUUUUAGCAUCUCUCUGUUAACUACUCACUUGUGCCCAUUACCAGCCGUAUUUAUGGGACACAGCUGGAUCUAUUUGAAUCAUGGAAGUCUUGGUUUAGAAAAGAGAAUUUGUGGGCUGUGAUGAAGCUCACUUCCACGAAGUGCUGGGUUUGCUCUCCAGUGCAGCAUAAAACCAGUCAUAGUAGCACACUACCAUGACCUCAGUACUCAGGGAAUGGAGGAGGGCAGAUCAGAAGUUUUUCAUAACCAUACGGGAACUUAAAUACAGCCACCUAUGUUGUGUUUUUAUGAGGGCAAAAUUGUUUAAGAAUGGGAAGCUUGCCUAAUGAAAGAUAUUUUUUAUCCAUUUUGUCCAAAAUUCAAAAGUUGCCAUUAGACUAUGUGGCUUGACUUAUCAAGAGUCAAAUGCUGUUUAAUACCCUGGGUGUGUGUACAUUGGUGCAACGUUCAUGCAGAGUCAGGUUGAAAAUUAUUUAUUUUUUAAUAUGCCCGUGACUUUUGAGUUAAUAAUUCCGCUUCAAAAAGACUACCUCAAAGGCAUAUUCAUGCAUAUGCAAAUUACAUUCUCUCUCUCUCUCUCUCUCUCUCUCUCUGAGUAAAUACUCUCUGAGUAAAUACAUGUAUUUAAAUGUCCAUAUAUGUAAUAUGAAACCUGCAUUCUGCAUAUGAAAGUAAACAUGCCAUAUUUGUCUUUCUGCGGCUAGCUUAUUUUGUGUAAUACAACGAUUUCCAAUUCUGUCCAUUUCCUUGAAAAGGCCAUAGCUUCAUUUUUCUUUAUGGCUGUACAUUUUGCCUUCUGAUCUCAGACAUCUGCCCCUCACCUGCCAAAUAACAGUGCCCUUACCCUGUUUGUUGCCUAAGAGAGAAAUGGAGACAACAGUUUCUGUGAAGAUAUGUGUAUCCCCCCGCAACACACACACACACACACACACACACACACACACACACACACACACA